rnacentral:lncRNA from 1 species
UUUUUUUUUUUUUUUUUGGGUUCAAGUGCAGCUCUCUGCUUACUCUGGCUGGUGGCUGCGCCUUGGCUUUGUCUUCGUAUGGAGGAUCGGUGAUUGGCCUGCUUUAUAGGCGCCGUGGGCCGUGGCGAGAAUUAGAGAGAGGCUGGGAGCAUCUGUGCCCGAUAGACACCUCUUGCCUCUUGCUCUCGAUAGUAUGGUAUGGUGGUGGUGCAAGGUCGGCAAGCAAUGGAUAUGUGCUCGAUCUGUUAGUUGCUAGCUUUAUAUCUAAACUGGCAUCUUGAAAUUGUUCGAUCGAACCAGACAAAGCUGCGUGCCUGUGUGAAUCUUUCGAUUUCUAUAAACCAAAGAAAUAUAUAUAGAGCAUAAAGUACUGUUGGUUGAUUUGUUGCAAGAGGAAAAAUACUGCUGAAUGCCUGUCAGAUUUGACAGAUGAACUCAAGUGAACAAGGACAGGGUGGGGGCUCAUGAAGAAAAAGGUUUGGCUCUGUUAUGCUUAGCUCCACAGUGUAAAGCUAAUGGUCGUUGAGGCAAUCUUUCACCGCACUGCGGAUGCUCUUGACCAUAUAUGAUCAAGGUAUCUAUAUAUACAUUAAUACAACUUGAGGAGUGAGGCCGCAUAUCGCGCAUAUACUGCGAUCAUUAUUUUCUAAAGCGAAUGGAGAUCCUAUUCGCGUGCCAAACUUGAUGGCCUCCUUUUUCUCUGGUUUGCGUAGCAGUAGCAGAAAUGCUUAUCAUCUCUCGUCUCGCAGUCGCAGUAGUAGCGUCGAACGAUUCCAUAUCAUGGAUGGAUCAUUGAACGUCUUACGUCACGUGAUGGUACUCUGAAUUCUGAUGCUGCGCUACUACCGUGGUGUAGGCCGGUGCCAUACACUGCUUUGAUGCCGUUCACACUUUAAGGGAACAUAAUUACCUCUAUUAACGCACGCGAGCUGUGCUCAUUUCACAAAUAUCGUUAGAUUCUCCAGGAAAUAUAAUUUUAUUUGAUGUUAAUAAUCUUCUUUACAAUGCAUAGGAGAAAAAAGAUCAUGAAGAUGUUGGACUCAGCAGCAGACAAUGAGUGGAUCUCACCGUUACCAGGUGACAAGACAAACCUUCAUGUUGACCCACCAAUUUCCAACCCUUGUACUACAAAACUGCCAUGUAUGGAUCGAUGAGGUACAUGCCACCAACACCAAACAUAUGGAUCAGCAAGCCACCUUUAAUUUGUAACGCCAACCCCACUGAUUUCGUCACAUCGGCUCCGGUGGCCGAACAAAACGAGUUGGCCUGGGCAAGGAAUUGAAUUUGGCCUAUGGGGUGGAAGAAGCAAUAGUGGUAUUAAUUAUGGGGAUCAAGGUUCCAACUAUUGUUGCAGAAGAAGGGGGGAGGAGACAUCACCAGUGAGCACCAACCAUAUAUGCUGAAACACUAUAUGUGGAUGGAGGUCACUAAUAAUGGCCUAGUUCAGUCAAUUGGAGGCGUGCAUCCAACAUCAGAGAUUUCCACUGCAUUGGCAUUGAUAAGUUUUUAGUUUCAAUUACUAUACCAAUGACUCCCCAUUGGUUCGACAACAACCAAGACCAAAUAUUGAAGCCCAAGAUGCCACAAUACAAUCUCCUCUUGUUUAGUGCGUUCUCAGCAAGUCGAGCUUAGCUGGUUUGGAGGCAAGGUAGUUAUGCUUAGGGGGUGUUUGGAAUACUUCGCUCCAUAUUUUUUUAGCUCCGCUCUACAGUUUCAGCUUUUACACAUUAUUCGAGAAAAAACAGUGGAGUUAUGAGAGCACCAAACGAGGUGCUCCACAAACUCUAUUUUUUUUUAAGCUGCUCCAUGGUGAAGUUUGUGGAGCAGUUCCAAAUACCUCAUAAUGUGGCUGUUUUUCUUUUCUUGUGCUAGUUGUGAUAGUUAAUGACAAAUGCUACACCUCUAGUUGUAUGGUUUUGGGGCUUUUUUAAGUUGAGCCAUGGCUCUUUUUAUUUUUUCUUCGAAUAAAAUUUAUGACAUUUUUUUUGUCGUUAAAAAAAAGACUUGAUGAAAUGAAAGAUAUUUUGACUUGUGACAACACCACUCUUCGCGAGAUGGUGGUAUAGUAAUAAUGUCGGGACGUCAGGGGGAGGUAGAGGGGGAGAGAGAGCGGGAGCAUAGACGGUUGUCAGCAGCACAACCUCGGCAGUGAUGGCGCUGGAGGUGAGGGCGGCGCUUUGCAAGUGUGGGAGCGGCAGAAGAAACGUCGUAACCGGGAGAGAGGACGGGUGGGGAGAGGAGUCGAUGAGAUAUUUUGUUGCCUGGAAGUUUGAAGCGCUGUGAGCCACUUGAUCUGGGAUCGUACGGCUGGAAUUGGACGAUGACGUGGCUGACCGAGGGACGAAAAUUGGUAUACAGAAAUAAGGAUCUAUCUAUGGUAGAUGCGCAUAGGGUCUACAUGCUGGGCAUUGCUUAUCUAUACCGUUGAAUAUGCAUCGAGAUGUGUGAAACAGUAGGGAGAAGUGUGAACACAGUUGAGAGAAGUGCAGCAGCACGAAUCUCAGAGCACAUUUGGAUGGUCCAGAUAAGCAAUGCUGAGCAUGUCAUGCUGCAUUGCAUUAUUGCUAGCUUGCUGCCGCUUUUCUCAUGGGUCAUCGGUGAGCGCAUGCAUUUUUCUUUUUCUGAGGAAUGGGUGAAAGCAUUUGUGUGGCCUCGAUCGUAGUGUACCGUGCAACGGAUAGUGCUCUCCGGCCGACCUGGUGUAGACAUGGCUUUAUUCUCAAGUCCACUCCGCUAAGGCGAGCGAUAUGAUCAGGUUUCUGCAGGGAUUAUAUUCCUUUGUCACGCAUAUCGAUCCGGACCGAAAAUUAUUUUAUUAAUAUUUUUUAUAUUCACCGGCCUUUUCUCACGGCCCACUUUAUUGUGCAAUUUUUAUAAAAUAAGAGGAGUUUGAACCUCUACUAGAAAUUUAUUAAUUUAUAGAACUAGUGUUACAAAAGCAUCUUCAGGAGGUUAGAAAGGAAAUAAGAACUAGGGAACCUAAUCUCUCCCAACAUAGUCCAACCGCCUCUAUUGCUGUCAGGACCCUAAUCGUCCGACCGCUAUCCCCACCACUUAGCCGAACUUUCUCCUCCGAACCCCCUUCUAUGUCCAUCGAAGAUGGAGAAGAAGAGGGAGAGAAGCUGGACAGAGAGGACCUGAACUUACCAUGCUGGCAAGCUCGUUGUCUUCGACGUCAGCAAGGCACCCACCGGAACCCUAGCCACGAGCACGGGCGGAAGGAAGAACACAAGAGGGGGAGGGAGACGCGUCCGAGAAGAAGAGGGUGGGCCAGCCGUGUUGCGCUGUCCGUGCGACGGUCGCGUAUUUAAAUUUCCAAAUGGUUUACCCCCUCCGAUCCACCAUUAUAUCCUCUAGUAGUUCCCACUUUAACCAGGUGAGCAAGAAAAAUUGGGUACAGAAAAAAUCGUUUGAACAAUGUCUAGUAUAGUAAGUGAACAUGGAUUAACAAUGGACAAAAAAAGUGUUUGGGAAAGUACAUAAACAGUAUUUGCUACAGUAUGAAACAUUGAACGAAAGGUGUUUGAAAAGUACGUGAACUGUGUUGGCUAAGACAUGUACUGAUGUACACAAAGCACUGUGUUGGCUAAGACAUGUACUGAUGUACACAAAGCCACAACUACAAGGGACAGGCUAGGGAUUGCAUAGAAGAGAGUUUCCUACAUAUUUGAAGACUUGAACCUCAGAGACGAUGCAUCAGUGUUCGCAGCAGCAACUACACAUGUCCCAUGCAAUGCAAAAAUGGCAUCGAGCAUUUCUGUCCUCAUGCAUUAACAUACAGGCCUUGUUUAGUUGGCAAAAUUUUUUAUUUUGGUACUGUAACACGUUCAUUUGUAUUUGAUAAUUAUUAUUCAAUCAUAAGACUCUAACUGGCCUCAAAAGAUUCGUCUCGCAAAUUACAAGCAAACUGUGUAAUUAGUUUUGAUUUUAAUGCAUGUGUCCAAAAAUUCGAUGUAACGAAGAAUCUUAAAUUUUUUUUGAACUAAACAAGGCCUAAAAUUCAGUACUGCGACCAAACUUUCAUUUUUCAAGACGAGCAUUUAUGUCAUCCUGAUUAACACGAGCUGUCUCCUUGGUUCCCCUUGCUAAAUUUUAGCCAAUUAAAAUUAUUUUAUUUAUUUUUGGGUGACUAAUGAGACUAAACUAUUUUAACUUCUUUUUAGUCAGCUUGUUUGAAACUUUAGCUACUAAAGUGACUAAAAUUUAGCUGGCUAAAAUUUAGCAAGGAGAAUCAAACAUGCCCUGAAUGUCUGAAUCUCUACCAAACUUUCAUUUCGGUCACGCAAGAAAGACUUGUUUUGUUUACGCGAUCUCACGAUUUUUUUUGGGUUUUACUGAAGUCACAGCCAUACAGGAGUACAUACAUACAUACAUACGGUGGAUGCAGAGCAUCGAUAUAUGAAUGGGAUUGGGAAUGGGAGUACAAUUUAUUUACGUUCGAGAUUAGCUAGGUUUGUCACCUGCAGGUUAUUAUUUGUACCCAUAUGAAACCAACAUGACGUCUACCAAUCCGGACUCUGGCAUGGCAUCCACACAUUCACACCACGAUCCAGCUGGGGGCCUGCUCAUGGGCGGCAGUAGGGGCGCCUGAGCUGGGCGCAGCCGCCGCCGCCCACGACGGCCUCCUCUUCCUCUUCCUCGUAGGUCUCCUCGUGGGUCUCGUACUCGAAGCGGCGGCCGCCGCCGCCGUGCCCGUGGUGGCGUCCGGCGCCGUAUGCGUACGUCUCCUCCUCGCAGCUGGACUCUUCGUAGGUUUCCUCGUAGGCCUCGUAGCGGUGGUGGGAGCCUCCGCCAUGGUGGUUCACUGCCAUCGCGUUGUUAGCCUUCAUGGGAUAGUUGUCGAAGCAGCGGCGGUUGUUGGCUGGGGCCGCGCCGCCGUCGACCUCCUUGAACGACUCCUUGUGGACAACGUGGUGCUGCAGGACGACGCCGGGCCUCUGGGCGACCUUGGUGACGUGCUCGCCGGAGUGGGUGCGGUGGUAGUUCGUGGUGGAGUGCUGUUGGCCGUAGCCAUAGCCAUUGCCAUUGCCAUUGCUGGGGCACCUGAACAUGGCUGCUGGCUACUGGUUGGCACUUGGAUCGAUCGCUAUGGCUCGGCGCUGCAUGGAUGUGCUUGAACUGGCCUUUUAUAGGCGUGCUAGCGGCUAGUGCUGAUCGAUUGGGCUGCAUAGGAUUGCAUGCCGCAUUUGUUCUGGGCUGAUAGUGGUAGGGUAGGACAGGCAUUGGAUCGGUGCGGCCUCCAUGGCUCGUAACUUUAUUCUUCAUGUCCAUUACUCAAGUGUUGGGCUAGGCAUCUCUUGUUCGACCCAUAAAUGAUAAAAAAAAGCAGCAAAGAUCAUAUUCGCACGCCAUAUUUAACGGUCCAUUUGCCCUUGUAAGAGCGUCUCCAAGAGUUUUUUUUUAAAAAAAAUAAUCUCUAAAUCAUCAUUUGAAAAAAUAAUUUGAGUAAUCGUUUUCUGUAUCUUUCUAUAGUCCAACAGCUUUGGUAUAUCUUCUCCGCACUCUAGAGACGAGUCAUCCUUGCUUUUCAUAAAUUUUUUAUAUAUCUAUUUAAAGAUGGGUAAUUUUUUUCACCAACAUCUCUCUGUUCCUGUGAAUUAGGAAAGAUAUAAAAAGCUACUUGAAGUUGCUCUAAGCCAAUAGAAAUACGGAUUGGUUCCAAUCAUAUAUAGCUUGUGUAUCCAUCAAUAACCUAAUGUUAUGGCAAAUGUUUUACCAUCCUUUCGGGAAAAGCAGUAAGUAAAUCAAAGUAACAAUGUGGUUUUUUUCCAAAAAAAAAACAUAGAGCAUCUUCAACUGUACAAAAAGUACUCCAAAAAAAUAAUUCCACAACCUUUCAAAAACAUAUUAGGAGGUAAAAGAUAACCAUGACUCGCGCUCCAAAUGCUUCUAAAAAAUGAUUUCCAAAAACUUCAUCUUCUUCUAUUCUCAUGGUUGUUGUGAGGGACUGAGGGCGAGCCAGGUCCCCGCGGUCGGCGUGGCGAGGGCGAGUCUGAGCGUGCCGUGGUGACCCGCGCGCAACGGCGAGCCCUGUUCGAACGGCUAGUGCAUCGAGGGCGAGCGCGACACGGUGGCCACUAGCGCGUCAGUGGCCAACGUACAUGCCCCAGCGGCCUACAUGGUGAGAGCGAGCGAGGAUGUUCGUUUGUCUAAAAAAGUAAUGGCUGAAAGUACUGUUCAUUCACUGAUUUAUUACGAUAGACGAUAAGCUCAAGCAAACAGCGUCUCUGUGGCUAGUGCAGCUAGUGCAAGCACGCACCCUGAAGGCUACCGUGGACAAAUCCUAGUCGGCCCCUGCCCCUCUCUAGGCCACGACACUGCAAGGGACAUACGGGUCAGGGAUUGCAUGGAAGAUAUAUAGAGUUCUAGAUUUGAAGGAUUGAAACUCAGAUGAUUCACUCGCCAGAGACUUGUUUACACGAUUUCAGAUUUGCAGUAGACAAAUACAAAAAGCAAUCGAUCGCGUCCCAAAGACACGGGCCGAUACAGCGCACGUUUUGUUUGUCAAAUUUUUUUUGACAAGUUACGUUGUUUGUCAAAUUGGUUUCAAUUUACUGAUGUCACAGGCUCACAGGGUCACACAGCCAUGUAUAUAUAGAGCACAUUCAGCUACAUACUGUGGAUACGGAGCAUCGUCGAUGCAUGAUUAAUGGGACUGGGAGUGGGAGUACGAUUUAUUUACGUACGAGAUUAGCUAGGUUCUCGUUGUCACCAGGUUGUUUGCUUAAAAUGUACCCAUGACGCACCACCAACUUCCGGACUCGCAUCGCAUCCACACGUUCACACAAAGCUACAGGUGCCUGCUGCUCACGCGCGGCAGGAGUAGCCGCGCCUGAUGACCUGGCCGCAGCUGUCGCCUCCCAAGACGACCUCCUCUUCUUCUUCUUCUUCCUCCUCUUCCUCCUCCUCAUGCUCCUCGUAGGUCUUGUACUGCUGGAAGCGGCGUUCGCCGCGCCGCCGGCGUGCCCGUGGCGGCCGGCGGCGGUUGGCGCUGUAUAUGCAUGCGUACGUGUACGUCUCGUCCUCGCAGGUCUCUUCGUGUAGGUUUUCUCAUAGGAUAGCGGUGGUGGGUUCACCGCCAUCCCGUUGUUACCCUUCAUGGAGAUGGAAUAGUUGUUGUCGAAGUAGCGGCGGUUGGCCGGUGCCUGACUGCCCACGUUGACCUCCUUGAACGACUACAUACUCCUCCCUUACAGACAACGUGAUGCUGCUGCACGGCGCCGCCGGCGACCUUGGGCUUGGGGAUGGUGGGUUGCGGCUGGCGUUGGCCGUAGCCGUUGCAGGGGAGCGCUCAACAUGGCUGCUGUGCUGCGUUACUUGUGCCGCCUUGGCAUACUUGAGAUCGCUAUGGCUUAGGCGCUGCAUAUGGAACAGCUUGAAGGUGGCUUUUUAUAGGCGCGCUUGCGCUCAUCCCGGCCAUCGAGCUUGAAUUGGCUUUUUAUGUAACCAUCUAAUGGAACUGGUUUUGACAGCGGCCCCAUGACAUCAGGACUGGUUACUAGUCCGUGUGGACAUAUGCAAAGUGGGUGUCGUUUGUGUGUGUGUGUGUGUGUGAAGACUCUUCAGGCCUUGUUUGGAUGUUGUCGGAUUCACCUCAAUCCACAUGUGUUGGAGUGUAUUGGGGUGAAAUUUAGUUCAAGUUUCACUCCAAUCCACUCCAAUACAUGUGGAUUGAUGCGAAUCCGACUACAUCCAAACAAGGCCUCAGGUGGUUUAUUAGAGCAGCGUUGCGCUGAACUUCAUGGAUGUCUCUGUACAGCGGCAGCGUGUUUAUAUAGUACAAAAAUGGAGAUAGGGUUAGCAGUUAGCAACUUAGCAUAGAAACUAGUGAGGUCCAAGUCCAAUCACCAUUUGUUAAUUACUUAAUUUGUUGUCUUAUUGGUCCUUCAUACUCACUGGAUCAUAUAUAUAACUUAGUUAUAUAUAGAUUUUAGAUCCAGCCGCCUCUAGAUAAAAAAUGUCCAAUUUGUAGAGGCGUUUGUUUUGGAAAGUAUUUUUAGAGGCAAUUUUAGAUUGAACUACUACCUCUAAAAAGGAUGUGUCUCUACAAGUGAGUUUUUUUAGAAUUUCUACAAAUCUUUUUUGUAUAGUAGAUGGUUUGGUGAAGCGGAUAUUAUAUAGAUCUAAUUUCUAAUAUUCUGAAUUCAAUGGAUCAUAUGGAAGGAAGUAGAUCAGUAGAAGAUCUAGUUAUUGUUAACGUUAAUGCAAAACUGAAUGUUCUCGAACCUUGAAAAACAGGCCAGCUUCUAACGUUGUUGACCAAGAUAGUAAAAUUGUAAUUCAGCCAUCUCGAGCCUAAUCUAGAGUGAAACCAGAACUAGCAAAGAAAAUUCAAAGCCUCCCGAAAAGAUCAGUCUACAUCUAGCUAGUACUCCUAUACUCGGGAGGGAACAACAAAAAUAGGAUUCGCAUGAUCGAUUGUGUUUAAAUCGGUCAGUAUACUAAAGCAAAGCCGAAGUUGUUAAAGCCAAAAACAAUACAUAAAACAUGAGAUACUGGUGUUUAUAAAAACAUAGAAGCCAAAUGCACAAUGCAUCAAAAGAAGAAGUCAAAGUUUAAUGGUAGGAAGCUUCCGGUUAAAUUGUCAACAAAAACCAAAGAAUAACCAAGAUAUAUACUAGUCAGUCUAACACAAAUCCAAACAUUCUAAAUGUACCAAGAAAAAAAGGUAACAAUAAACAUGCGGGCCCUUUCCUUUAUUUACUUCACGGUCUUAUUCUUUACUACAUAAUAAGGGGUGCAUCAGCAUGGCAUGCAUGCACACGCUACCACAAGUACAUGCGUACGUGUACAAUGCAUACAUAGUAGUAGGACCGUGCAGUCGUACGUGCACACACUCACACACGUACACAUACUACGUGAGAUGAUGCAUGCAUUCAGCCUUACGUAUAUAUAGCGCCCAGUGUGUCAGGCAGGGGCGCAGAGAGAGCCCUGACGAUGAUGGCAAUACGUGAUGAUGCGUGCUCAAGCGUAGUACUGGCCGGUGCACGAGUCGUAGCGCUUGCUCUCGCAGGCGUCGUACAGGCGGCGCCCACCGUGGCCAUGCCCGUGCACCUGGUGCUGCUCACGGUGUUCUUCCCCGAGCCCGAGGUAGCCACCAUGGCAUGAUCCCUCGUGCUCGGCAUGGACGACGUGGCGGUGCUGGUGGCCGCUGCCGCUGUGGCCGUGGCCGUAGUGAUGUCCUCUGCCGGCGCGCGCCAACUCGUCUACCUCCUCGUACUCCUUGCGGACGACGGCGUAGCGCUCGCCGCCGCCCUCACCGUGGCAGAACCCCGGCUCGGCGUACGGCCUCCUCGCCUCCUCCGCGCAGUAGCCGGACUCCGAGUAGUACGCCAUACUGCUGCUCUACUCAGUGGCUUUUGUUUGCUGAAACCUGACUGAUGCAGGAUAUACAUGGACAGGCCCCUGCUUUUAUAGCGUGCAAGCUCCCGACCAUGCACGCAGUGUUGCUUUGCUAAAUGACGAUCGAGCUAGCGGCGUGCAUUAGUGGAGAUGGGAAUUUGUUCUGAAAGAGAUACGUGCUCGCUCAUGCUUUCCGGCAAGCCGUGCCACCUGCCCGUUCGGAUCGAGGAUAUGGAAGAAAACUCCAGACGCAUGCAUGCAUCAUAUAUAUGACAGACUGUCAGACUGGACGACCCGUGUGAGGAAUUUUUUGUUCGAGAUAAAAAGCUUGGUGAGGCUUCCUAUGGAUUGAAGGAAAGUAGAGUGUAAAUGGAAUAACAAAAGUGAUGAUAUAGGAGGAUAUCAGCGCAGAUAUGUCCAAGCCAAGUGCAAAAAAAAAAGGUGACAGUACUCCAAAAAAAGCCCCAGCAGAUGUUUACACGAUUUACUUACAUUUGUUAAUUUGUCACUGUCAAACAGGACAGAUUUUCUGAUUAUAUUUGCUAGUAAUUCUACAUUUUAUAUUGUAGGAUAUAUAUUUUAUUUUAUUUGACAAGAACCAACACUAAAUUAACUAAAAAUUCCUAAUAUUAAUAUUUUUCCUGGAGAAUAAGAACAAAUUUAGCCGAUUGUGCUUCGGUACUCCUCCCUCAAAGAUUUGCAGGAAUUAUAGAGGAGUCCAUUAAAAUAAUUAUAUUUUUUUUGCUAAUUAUUUCCUAUUUGGGCCCCGCUUGGACCUAGCCAGUCCGUUGAGUCCAGCUCGUCCCCAAAGAAAAGUCAUCUUCACGGAACAAGACGAUGUCAUCCAUCCAUCGUCUUCCAAGUGACGGUGGGCCCCAACAGGGUUAGCUUCUCACCUAUGCCGCGAAGCCCAGCGCGCCCUUCCUGUCUCUCGUGUCGUCCUGUACAGCACGGCUAAGGGCUAAGGCUGAGCGCGCCGUGUGGGAGUCGGACAUGGAAGACUGGGUAGACUACUUCGAGAGACCCCGGAAUGGCUGUGACAACUGCAACAAGUGCGGGCACUCUGGCGUGUGCAAUCAGACUGGUGGCGCGGUGGGGCACAGGUCCUUGCUGCGGUGCCGAGGUGCUAGUGUUAGGGCUCGUUUGGUACAUCUGACAACAGCUUCACGUUGUGAGCUGUUUUUUUGCCAAAUAUUUAUUUCCAAAAAAGUUUCAUGGGUGAAGCUGUUUUUUCCCUCCUCUCACAAAGACAUAAGUUGGAUGAAGCUGAAAAAAAGUAGCUUAUUGCAACUUCUCCCUCAUUUCUCUGUCUCAACUAUGCAUGAAGUAGUUGGUGAAGCUAUUUUGUCAAACACUUUCUCCAAAACAGCUCAGCUUCAUCUAGAAAGUCACUCAUGAAGCUAUUUUCUAAAAAAAAUAAAUUUACUAGUGAAGUUGAGCUGUGCCAAACAAGCCCCUUAGUGUCACUCGGUCAGCCAGGUUCCGCUGCUCCGGAAUGUCGACACUGAGGCACCAUCUCCUUCCUCGCGACGAAUGAUGGAUUCAGGGUUGGACGGAAGGGCUGGGUCUAAGGCCUCAUUUAAUUCGCGAAAAGAAAAGAAUUUGAAUACUAUAGCAUAUUUGUAAUUAUAGUAAUUAGUGUUUCAUAGAGGUUUAGAGUGGAGUUUUUGAAACUCCAAAAAGACUAUGGUCUCUCAGCAAUACAUAUAGUAUUUAAAACAUAAAAUUUAUUGCACCUAAACACUUCAUGGCACUUUAAAACCAAAGUAUUUCAUAGAGUCAUGGUAAUUUUUUAAAACUCUGAAAAUACUUUGUAUCCAAACAGGGACUUAAUGUAUAUCCCAUCCUGUAGAAUUUAGCGAAUCAAAAAGCAAUAUUGACCCGGAUUCGUGUUCUUUUUACUUGGCAAGGCCAUGAAUUUCAGAGUUUUUAACAAUGGUCGUCCUUGGAUAUAUAUUAUUGUAAGCAUAAUAAAACAUGCACAUCAUAUAGACGAUGGUCCGCGAGAUCCACAUCACAAAUCGCAUGUUCAUCACUCCAUGUCAUGUUGGCGCAACACAGCUUUUUACAGCACGGAGAACCUGCUUUAUUCAGAUCACGAGCUUAUUUUUACGUCGUUCGUACAGGGCUGCAUGCGUACAGAGUACAUGCACGCACGCUCGCGAAGUGAGUACACACAUAUACAGUCGUCAUACAUACGUAUAUGGAGAAGACACGUACGUACGUACGUGUACGUACAUACACAUAUACGUACGUGCCUCAGGGUCCAGUCCAGGUCGUUCAGAUCAUGAUACGUGCGUCGAUCGAGCCCGCGCGAAGAAGCUGGUCAGUUGUCGGCCUUGACGACGAAGUUCUCCUUGCGCUCGUGGAACUCGCCGGUGCGGGUGUUGACGUCCUCCUCGAACUUGGACUCGCGGGCCUCGAAGUGGCCGUGGCGGCCGCCGCCGGCGCGUGAGACGCUGUCGACCUCCUCGAACUUCUCCUUGACGACGUGCUGCUGGACGCCGCCGUGGCCGCCAUGAUGGCGACCAAAGCCGGCAGGGCCGCCGGCGGCCACCGACUUCACCUCCUCCGAGCAGUAGUCCACCUCCUGGUAGUGAGCCAUUGGUGAUGCUUGGUGUUUUGUGCCUGUGCUUCGAAGCGGUUGUGAUCUGGUGAAUGUGUGUGAGAAUUGUGUGCUGGAUAUGCUAGGGCUGGGUGGGCUUUUAUAAUUAACGUACGAGCGAGAAGAAGCAUGACAGCAUGAGUGGAGUGAGGAAUAAUCUGAUCACGACUCAUGAGGGAGAAAGAUAGCUGUCAGCAACUGCUUUGUUUAUGCAACUUUCUUGCGCUUUUUAGCGUCAUCUAGAAGUAUUUGGACUAUAUUGGCCAAAAUUCGAUAAUUUUUUAUUCUUUUUUCUCCAAAAACUGCCGGCGAGACUCUGCCGCCUAAGGGGUUUUCAAAACAAAGUACUUAUAAGAAAAUAAAAGAACUUAGCGAAGGAGAGUUUGGCCAAGGUGAUAAGCCACUCAAAGCAAAAAAAAAAGAAAAAAAAAAGAAAAAAGGUGGAUCAUCUCGGGAAAUAAAAAAAAAAUUAUUUAGUUUCAGGAACAACAGGCCGAUUGCUACACGUACGGGUGGCUACUGGCUACGGGCCCUUUUAAGCGACCUAGCUCGACCAAAAAAAAGAGAGAGAGCCGCAGCCUGCUAGUACUAUGUGAGCAUUUAUAACUUCAUUAUAAAUAAUUUUAUGUCCAUUGUAUACACAGAAAAUUGAGUUGCGGCUUGUGUAAUUGUAGCCCUUGCUCGAGGCCCCUGCUCCGUUUUAACUACAACUUUUUGUAGGGUUCGUACGCAUUUAAUAAUUUUUCCUAAUAAGAAUAUCCUAAGCAGGAAAUAGCUAAUUUAAGCAUUCAGCGCGGACGGUGGGCCGGGUGGUAGGCGUGAAACAUAAGAAGUGUAGUAACGAAAAUUCAUUUGUACAUAGAUAGCGCCCUACACCUAUGUUUGCAGCAGUGAAUUCAAUCCAAGUCAAGUACGGAUAUCAGCCUGUAGUUACCAAGCAAAUCGACAAUCGGCUCACAGGUUGCCACUUAGCAUGUGAGAAUAUAUACUUGCGUCUCAGCCUGCACCGCAUCGAUCUCUCCUCAGUAGAGAUGGACACCGCUAGUCGCCAUGAUGUGAUGACAUCCUAAUAAUAAUAUUCUAACAGGACAUGCAAAAAGCAUCCGCAUGCUCCAAUCACCUUUUCGGGCAGCCAUGGCUAAAGAGCCACGGUUGGUUUUACAGUGUUGAAGAACUCUAGAGCAUCGCGCUCUAUUACUUGUUUGUCUUGUUGUACACAUAUAUAUAUACACACUAGUAAUCGGCUAGGCCGAGCCUGUUUCACUUCUCUUAUAAGUCGUAUUUUUUCUAUCAGCCAACAAUAUUUUUCUCUUACAAUAAAUCAACAAACAAUAUUUUUAGUCAUAGCUUUUCAUACCAGCAAACGAUGCAUGAUCCAACAAUCACCAUCAAGAUGGUCAAUAGCUAUCUUACCAUAUUUUUUAACUCUUAAUUACUUAUUUAGUUAAUUAGAAAGUCAAAAAAUCUGUAAAGUUAAUAUCAAAAGAGUCCUUAUGCUCCAUAGUCAUAAGUGAGCGUGCGACGGUAGUUAAGGAUCUCGGAUGGAGAAGUGUCCAAAAGAAAAGUUAUAGAUCUCAAAAAAUUAUACAACUUUAUAGUUCAUAACUUGUUUUUUUAAGUGGUUACAAUGUCCUCUAUAUGAUUCGCAAGAUUUCAUAAAAGUUAUCACCAACUAAAGCCAUAUGUUCUAUAGUCAUAAAUGAGUGGUAGUGAUAUUUAAGGAUCUUGGUAGUAGCAAUCAAAACAAAAGUUGUUGAUCUCAAAAAGUUAUGCAACUUUGUAUUUGACAACAUUUUCAUUUGAAAUCAUCUAUAUAAAACGAAAACUAUGUUUGACAUCCAUGCAUGUAAAUGUACGUUCCUUGUAUUCGUAUCUAAUGGACCAGGAUACUCUUUUUUUUCUCAUAUAAAUUCAUUUGAAAACUGAACGUUUGUCUUAAGUUUAUUUUUUUAGUUGUUGUCUGUUCAUAAUCAAAUUGAGAAUUUUGUGCAAUCUGAAAAAAUGGGUGAUCUAGUACUAAAUACAGGACGGUCCGGUUCUCUUAAAUGCAUAUGUUGAACGACUAAUUUAGAGUCCAAUUGAGAGAAUUACGUGUUCGGAAAAUUUUUCUUCCCAAAAUCAAGGAUCUGGUAUUGCGUAUAUACCAGAUUGUUCAGAUCGAGUUUGAGUCACUUUUAGUUGCAAAUUUUGAUGAAUUUGGACUCUAACUUGGAGAUGCAUCUCCCACACUAUAAUAUAAAUAUAAUGGGUCACGUCCGGUUGAGGUAUCGAUCACUCAAUAUAUACAACUUUUACUUUAUUUUGCCUUUAUCUUAUUUCUUUUACUCUCCUUUUCUCAUCCAUAGACUGUCGUACCUCCUUCAUCUCUACAAUGCUUGAAGGCAGACUGGUCUGUCAACGCUAAGAACAAGUAUUAUAAGUCCUACUCAGCAGGCUGUAACAUGAUCCACGUCAUCAAAAUCCUAUGUGGCAGAGAGAGAAAUAAAUAAAGAGAAGAAAGCCGACGUUUGCCUUACCGUCGAGCGAAUUCAUCCCUGCUAUUUUGCUAAUAUUAAAUGUUAACCGCUCAUCUCCUAGCUCGCCUUAUUGUACGUGAUGGUUUUGCUGUCUCCUAUACAGCCCGCUUGCAGCCGGUGGUCGCCGUUGCUAUUAACCUUGCUCUAAGGCAACCAAAGCGUGCUUGUCCAAACAGAGUCAUCCGGCCGGGCAAGCAUUCGUUGGUCUGUCCCGAGCUGGUCCGAUUUUUGUAGGGGUGUUGUGGCGUGGAACCAGGUGCGCCCCUCACACAGAUAGGAGAACGAUCAUGGGUCUUAUUUUUCUCCCUUUAAUUUUAAUUUCCUAUCCUUCAUAUUUUGUUCCAUUUUCUUAUAUUUUUUCUUAACAAAUCCUCAAUUGGUUUACAAUUUUCUUGUUUUACCAUUAUUAAAGUCAAACUAUCUUAAGUUUAAAUAGAUUGAUAUUAUCAAUAUGUAUAACUCUGAAUAGGUAUAUUAUCAAUAUUUAUUUAGUAUAAUAAAUAUUAGCAUAUUUUUAUAUAAAUUUGGUUAAACUUAUGAUCCUUUGACUUAGUACUAUUUUGAAAUUGUAUCUUUUUGGGGGCACAGAGAGAAUGUGCAUGGUAAUGUAGGUGGUACGGAGAAGCUUUAUUCAGGUCACGAGCUUAUUGUCGUAAUUCUUACAGAAGCUGAGUGCGUGCACGCCAGCCAAGUACGAUGACCCUGCACAAUCUUAUACGCACAUACAUACAUAAGGCACGAACGGGGGCGCGCAUGGUACGGUCGUGCGGCCGGCGGCUCAGUUAGCCCUGGCGAGGAAGCUCUCCUUGCGCUCGUGGAACUCGCCGGUGCAGGUGUUGAAGUCCUCCUCGACCCUGGUCUCGCGCACCACGACGCCGUGGCCGUGGUGACCGUGGCCGUGGUGGUGGCCGCCGGCGCGUGACACCGUGUCGACCUCCUCGAAUUUCUCCUUGACGACGUGCUGCUGGACGCCGCCGCCGUAGCGGCCGAAGCCGCCGGCCGGGGCCACCGACCUCACCUCCUCCGAGCAGUAGUCCACCUCCUGGAAGUAGGCCAUUGGUGAAUGGUGAUGCUUGGUGUUUGUUCUAGUGCCUGUGCGCAGUGCGUUCAACUGCUUGUGUGGAUUGUUGGUGUGAUGAAUGCAUGGUAACGUUCGUCGGGUGCGCUUUUAUAACGUGGAAGCACACAAGUGGAGUGAGGAAUAAUUUGCUCAUCAUCCUCAACUUGAUGAGGGAGAAAGAUACCUGUAUUGUGUGCUUGCUUACUUCGCUUUUUAGCAUUGAUCUAGAUGUAUUUGGACUGUAAUCUUGAAACGGCGACCGAUUAUUACACAUAGUUGGGUGGCUAGAGGCCUUUUUAACAGCAUUUCUUUUAUCUUGUUUUGAUGAGGUUUAAUUGUGGUUCUCUAACAACGAUGUACUUUGAGGAUAAAAUUAGCUAAUCUAGAUGAGCAUGGAACUGCCAAUGGAAAAAUAAGAAGAAAAAGUACUCCCUAUGUCUUACAAUUCUGAAUGAGAGUAGAUAUUAUGAUCAUACUGGAGCUUUUAUAUGUUCUAGAGCUGCUUGGUUGUACAGCAGUGAGUUAAAUUCCAGUGGAAAAAUAGAGGGAAACGAAUACCAGGCCCGAGAGUAAUUACUCAUCUUCAGAGUGCCAAUUUGUUCAUUUCAGAUCCUCUCCUGGUACAAUGUCACCUGUCACCGGUCAGGUAAGAAGAAUAUACUUAUCAGUUAAGUUAGGCACUUAGCCAGUGGAGUGGGGAAUAGAUACUUGCGUCUCAGCCUGCACCGCCAUUUCAUCUCUUCAUUCACUAUAGAGAAGAGAAUUGAGAUGGAGACGGACAGAAGAACCACAACUCAUGACUCAUGAGUGAUGACAUCCUUUGAUUCAAAGAAGAGAGAUGCUCAGAUGCAAAGCAGCGGGCUGCUCCGGUGCUCCCAUCUCCUUUCAGGCAGCCAUUCCUAACGAACCUACCGUUGUUUUCAUCAGGAAUCUGCUGAAGGGUUUGCAGUGCAUGCACCCAUCUAGGUUGAAAUUCAGCCGUGGCAUCCACAAGCUUGCAAAACACAAACAAAAAGCAGACUGUGGGAAACAAUUUGCAACAAUAAGUCGAUCAUCUGGGAUACUCUACGAGACUACGAUGAACAAAAUUUGCUACACCUACCACUUUCAAGACAUAUAAAUUCAUACUGUUCCAAUAGCUCAGGCUCAGUCACUCAGAUCAAGUUCUGUUUCAGAAAUAAUAAUCUUCCAUUUUGAGGAACCAAAAGCCUUUUCUACUUAGUCUCCUGGUAUUUUCUCCAGCUUCAACUUUCAAUUGGCUUUUGCUUGAACCAUCUUCUAGGCUUGAUGGCAUGUUGAAGUGCUACAUCAGUGUGGGUCAAGGCUAAUGCCUCUUCCUCUUACUGCUCUUCAGGUGCUUCUUUCGAUGUCCACUCUUGCCAUGCGAUUUGCUUGAACCGCCAUCAUCUUCCUUGUCUCCGCCAAUUAGCAUGUUCAUUCCAAGGUCGAAACCAUCCGUUAAGCCUCCUAGCCUGUUGCCAGAAUCAGAUAUCAGUUGGGGGCGUAAGUUGGAUAUUAAGACAAGCUGAAAAUCUUUUUUUUUAUCAAGACAAGCUGAAAAUCCUAAGGGAAAACCAAGGGCGGAAUAGUACUUGUAGCUGACAAAGUUGAUUGUGUAUUUACACAGGAAACAAGCAGCAGCAAAAGAUAAACCAUAUACAUACCCAUGAAGUUGUCUCCUUAUGCGCUUCUCGAUCUGCUUAUCACGUUUGGUUACAGGAGCCCGAGUGAACAACUCCUCUUCCUGCUUCUCUUGCUCCUCUCUCUGUCGCAUGUACCUCCCAAAUUCCCUGCUUUCAUCGCCCACUGUUUCCUUCCACUGUAAAUUCCAGAAAGAUUAUUUAGCAUGAAAAUAAACAGCACACAGUUUACUCUGUAUCCAAGAGAGCCUGCUAAUAAAUUCAGAUCAGAAGUUAAGCAAACCUCUUCAGGUCUGUCCGCAGCAUCGUCAAUUAUUUCUUUAAUAUAAGGAUUUUCUAUUGCCACUCGGGCUAAUGCUUUAUCUCUCCUUGAAUCUUUUUUACGACGCUUCUCUUCAUCAUCCACGCUAGUAGGCAUAAAUUUCGGAGGACGGUAAACACCAUCAGUAUCCUGAAAUAAAGUGGUUAUACAUCAGAACAGCAGAAGGUAUAGACUGAUAUGCCAUAUGAACUGAGAAAUAAACCUCACUGCUACAGAAAAUGGUGAGUUUGAAUGACAGGUAUUACUGACAAUCUCUGCAUUUAGCAAUUACAUAGAAUAUGCAAAAUUCUUAAAAGAACAACAUUUUAAAUGGGACAAAUACACAACUCAAACACAAUGCUAAAAGUGGAUUCCUUAAGGGACAGGAAGAAUUAAUGUCAGUAUCAAAUUCAGCACUAUAGGGAUGCCACCUAAAAUUCUUGAGAUGAGAAGGGAUGUUGAUUCAUUAUUGCCAGUGACAGUUAUAUUACAAAGGACAAGCUGUCGUAGCUGGAAAGAUGGGAAAAAUUGUUCAUGUGAAUGACAUUGCACUUUUUGAUAUUUGGGCUAAAACAAACUGAUAUGUUCCAAUACCGUAAGUGCAGACAAGCUAUUAAUUAAUAUAGUCCUUUCACAAAGUAUCAUGUAGGACGUUCCAGCAUGCACAAAAGGAAGCGUCUGCGAUGUAACAAGUGUAUAAAAUCAGUAAGGAAGUGAAAAGCAUCACCUGCCCAUCAGGACCAGCCUUUGUGUCCAUCAUAUCUGGGUUUGGCCUAUACUUCAGGGGGUCAUCCUCAUCUGAAUGCUCGCCCUUCCCCUUCGCCUCUGCAUUUCCUGUCUUCUCUCGUGCAAUUGCAUUGUCAGCAGCGUUGGUGAGCUUCUGAAUUUGGUACUCUGCCUUCUUGUCAAUUGGACGAAUCUACCGCACCAAAUUUAAAAGAAAGCCGUCACUUAGUUAACAACCUAUAUCAAGGCUGGAAAAUGAACAAUCAGCAUCAAAGGCACAGGCAAACCUUCUCUAGAAACAGCCUAAUCUCGACAAGGCUCCGUACAACGGGGUGUCCAUCCACCGAGAGCCCCUUGGCCUUGCGGAGCAGGUAGUAGACGAUGUCCUGGCAGUAGCCAAGGAGCAGCUGGUUCUUCGCAUCUAGGUACCCGAUCCCGUUGGCCGUCGGCAACUGGUUCUCCUUGACCUAUACACACGCGACCAGAAUUCAUUCUCCCAUCGUAUCCACAGUUUCCGGUUUAAUAAAUUGGGAGAGGGGACGGAAGCUUGGAAGGGGAAGACAUGAGUAGAUUACCUUCCGGGUGAUGGCCUCGACCUUGCCCCUGACGAGGUCCAAUCCGUCCUUCAUCUCCUUGAGAGCGGCGAGCAGCCCCGGCGCGUCGUCGCUGCAAGCAACAAACGGUCAGAUCAAAAUUCGCUUUAGGCGCUAAAGCUGGGGGAGAGGCAUCUAGAAGCUGAGCGUACCGUAUGAGGAAUUCGUCUUUGCUCUCGCCGUUGGCUUCGGCGGCUGCGGCGGCGGAUGCUGCCGCCAUGGUGGUGAGCGACUGUCCGAGAAAUAGGCGACGCCUAGCGACGCGGCUGCGUCACGGGAAGAGCAAGCGUGAUACGUUACGGCGUAGUGCGUGGCGGGGACUCCAGCAAGCUGCCGACGGAGAGGUACGAAUCGUGGUGGCGGAGGCGGCGCUCGGGGGUUUAGCCGUUUAGGGAGAGGGAGGGCUCGGUGGUAGACUGGCAAAUUGGCAAGGCUGGUGCCUGGUAGGGCAGCGAGGUGGGUUGGCUGGCUCCGAUGUUGGGCUGUCCGGUAGAGGUGGGCUUUCAUUGAGGAUAUAUCAUUUCCUCAUGGGCUUUUUUUUUACAAAGAAAUUGGACUGGGUUUCUUUAAUAAUAAUUAAAUGGCUAGUCUACCUCCUAAACUGUCACCCCUCUAAUUUGCGUCCACAAACUUCAAAACCAUAUAUUUUAUCCCCUGAACUCUUAAGACCAUUCAGUUCUCCUCCCUAUCUGGUUUGGAGUGGUUUUGAAAACGAUUUCAUCCUUUUCUAAGUAAAAAAAAUCAGUUAAUACUCGAUAAGAAUUUUAAACCACAGAAAAUGUUUCUAAGCUUUUAAAAAACUAGAGAUAAACUAAAAAUCCAAAUAAAAUAUUUAGACCUUAUGAAAAUAUAUCUAGAUGCUAUAAAUUAGAUUUAUCUAUAGGAAAAUGAGAAUUAGAAAAAUCUUAAACCUCCUAAAACAUUGUAUUUGAUAUGUAAACAUGUUUUGAAAACUUUUCAUGACAAAAAGACAUAAUACAAAACCACCACAGAUGCAUGUUGCAUCUGUACUGGUUUUAUCUCAUUUUUUAUGUAAAGUUUUUCAAACAUGUUUUUACAUUGAUUAUAAUGUUUUGGAAAAAUUCUUGAUUUUCCUAAAUAUUUUCUCAUUUUUCUAAGAGCUAAACCUAUUUUUAAAGUUUCACAAUAUGUUUUCACGAGCUUUAAAUGUUUUAUUUUGAUUUGACGUAUCUCAAAUAUCUCUAGAAAUUUUGGAAAUUUUAAGAGGUUAGAGGCAUUUAUGUGGUCUAAAAACUUUAUCAAGUAUUUAUUGGAUCUUUUUAUAAUUUAAUAACUAAAAAAGGAUGAAACCACCUUCAAACCACACCAAAUCAAGACAGCGAGAUAGCUUGAACAGUUUUAAGAGUUCAAUGGUGUAUGGAGGUUAAGGAGAAAAAUUAGACUACGGUGAAAGAUACAUGUACCUUUUUUCUUCUCUCACCUCUUUUUGCCUUUUUUCGAGAAUGUGGAGACUCAACUUCCACGUUCAUUUUCUGUAGGGUUUUCGUCUUUAUUUUGAUUUUGAUUGAGAGGCUAUUCAAUUAUUUUACUAAGGUCUUGUUUAGUUACUUUUUUUUUUGCAAAAUGAACACGGUAGCAUUUUUGUUUGUAUUUUACAAAUAUUGUCCAAUCAUAAACUAAGCUCAAAAGAUUCGUCUCUAAAAUUACAGGCAAACUAUACAAUUAGUUAUUUUUUUAUUUGUAUUUAAUGCUUCAUGCAUGUGCAAUUUUCGAUGUGAUGGAGACUUUAAAAAUUUUUGCAAAAUUUCUCAAAAACUAAACAAGGCCUAAAGGGAAACCCAAAAAUCCUUGGGUGAAUACUGAAGAGCUAUGUUCUUACCUGUGUUCAUCUAAGCAUGAAAAAACACUGUUAACCAAAUUCACGAUGAACUUACGGUCCACAAGAUCAUCAGAAACGUAAGAGAAGACCAACAAGCUAUAAAAUACUCCUCAGCGAAAUACGGUCAUUCCUGGACGCAGGUGGUAACUGUAUAAGGAAGUUAUACACAACAGCCACGACACACACGACACAGCGCGCAAAUUCUACAGACAUCGACGUGCUCCUGAGCUUUGACAAUGGUCGCUUCGCCAACCGAAAAUUAGGUAAUGAACUGGUUUGAUGGGAAACAAAUAUAGCCUGUCAAUUAAACCAACACUAUUCAAAACACACCAAUUGAUAGGUCAGCGAAACAUCCAUUUGUUCACUACUCAAAAUACACCAAUAGAUCGGGUAAUGAACAAUCCAUUUGUUCAGUAACACCGCACACCAAUAGUGGGCAACAAAAACUCCAUUUUCUCAGUAACUCCACAAGUCCAGUACAAGUAUACAGCCGAGUUUAAACGACCACAGGGACUCCAGUCCAACAAGAAAAAGGGUCCUUCCAAAAGAAAAUGCAUAGGCUGUUGCUAGGUAGUUGAUAAAUUUUGAUAUUUCAUAUGAGAAGGUUCAUAGCUCCAGGUAUUGUAGCGAAAAUUGACUUUGUUGUCAAUCCUAGUAAGGGGAAUUUCUCAGAAAUUUCCCAAAGAAUGCACUUAAUGCCUAGUAGUUUACAAAUAGAAGUCCCAAACUUCUUUUGCACCCAUCAAUAUGGCCUUCUCCCUCCUCCUAAAGGAAAGGUAUUUGAUCCAGACAUAUGACCCCGGUUACCAAACCCACCUCUGCCUCUCGACCGGAAAUUGCCUGAACACAAAACCCACAUAAGUUAAUAUGCAGGUGAAGGCAGAUAUGAUGCGCCCAGAACAUGCAAUAGUGUUCUCCAUGAAUAAAUAAACUGUAAAGUUCAUAACUACCUCCUCCCCCUGAGUUUGAAGACUUGGACAUGGAUUCUAGUGCAGGAUUCACAGCUUGUCCAGCUUCCCGCAGAAUCUUCACUAGAUUCCUUGAGAACUUAGCAUUUGCAUGUGUGAAAAAAGUAAAUGCAGUUCCGCUAGCACCAGCACGGCCAGUUCGACCUAUCCUGUGAAUAUAAUCUUCAAGAGUUGUUGGAAAAUCAUAAUUUAUCACACACUUUAUGUCCUUCACGUCUGCAAAAUCAACAGAUACUAUCAGUACUUAAACAAAGUUGAUGUGUUGUCCUGAAUACCAUGCUGGACCACAUUGGAACAUCAACAUUGUCGAUCUCCAUAAAAGGCAGUACAUGGUUUAGACAAGCACCAAAAAAAUCCACAGUGCUGACUUUCUGAAUUCUAAAACACAAGUCGAAGGAGCUGAAAAACUGAACCGGGCAUCAAUCACUGCUGGAUGUGGAAUUGAUGGUGAUUAACCUCUCAGCCUUUAUCAGAAAAUGUUGAAGACUGCAACUGGCAUGCCUGGGUAACCACUUAUAUCCAAUAAUGUAACAGCAUCCAAUAUCCAUAACCCAAACAAAAUUCGGUAAACAUGCCAGUCCAACAUAGGCUGUAAUGAUUAAGGUGCUGCAUCAGAGGUCACUAUCGUAAAUCCACUGAAACAAACGCUGAUUACAACCAUCUUUUGACCAGUUCGCACUUGGCAGUGAUACCGAUGAUGAGGCACUUGAUUGAGAAAGUAGAACGAGCUUCUAAAGGUUCAUGUAAAGCCAGGGGAAAGCAAAGGAGGUCCAUACAGACAUGCUACUUGUGAAUGAUGUGCAUUAUAAAAAAAAAUAAUAAAAAUAAUAAUAAAAAGUAUUGCCGUUUUUAUACACAGGUUUUUAUCCUAAAAUUUUGCAAUACAUCUGCAAGAAAAAAAGCAUUGCUCUCAUCAAUUCUAAAUGAAUUAAACGUGUAAGCCACAAAGUACUUGCAAGAAAAGCAGACUGGAUUGAAACGAAUUCAAUUGCAAGGGCAAAGAAGCAAUGAAGAGGGCAGCAACACCAUACCUAGAUGCAGGGAUUGAGGAAUUCAAAUCAAGUUAAGAAAUUAGCUAUGUAGUACCAAAUGCAUAUACAUUUGCAUGCUACUUUUUCAGGAUAUCCAUUUUAUCCAAACGUAGGGCUCCCUAAAAGGGCUAACUAUGAAAGGAAACGUUACCAUGGUAGCUCAAAGUUGAAGUGCCUCGUAACACUGCCAAUGCUCACGCUCAAAUGAGGUAAACCACGGGGGAAAAUUAUCUACCUUUGACAUGAUGGCACCUUGGUAUACACCACCAAUCCACAAGUUCAGUUCACUCAACCAAACGCAGCUGAACAGCCCUCCGACUUAUCAUCCUUGAGCACUUGGAACUACUACCUAAUCCUAAUAUUCAAAUAAAUAUCAUACCAAGACCACGUGCUGCCACAUCUGUAGCAGCCAUUAUGGGACUCUUGCCGCUCUUAAACUCUGCAAGAACAUAGUCCCGUUCAGCUUGAGCUUUAUCACCAUGUAUAGAUAAUGCCGGCCACCCAUCCAUUCUAAGUUGCCGUGUGAUCUUAUCGCAGUCCUUUUUUGUUUGGAAGAAUAUCAAGAUACGGCUUCCGUCCAUUAGAUCAGACAAGAGCUUACUGAGUCUGUGGGAAAGAGGUGAAAAUCAACUCACACCAUGUCCAUUUGUAAUCAAUAGUAGUGUAGUGAGUGAAGAUUUUUUUAGUCACGAGAGCGUCGACCACACAUACCUUGGAUACUUCUCAUGGUCUGAAAUAACUUCUACAAUUUGUUGUAUGGAAUGAUUAGCUUUAAGUUCAGGUGAUCCUAUGGUUACCUGCAUACAAUAUAAGCCAACAGUUAAGAACAGGGCUGUCACAAUCAAUUCAACACAACACAACACAGUACAAGAACCAGAAAAUAACAAUAACAGCACCAAUCGUGCACCUUAUAAGGAUUUUGCAGAAACUGCCUUGCUAAGGCUUCAACUUCUCUAGGCCAUGUGGCACUCCAGUACAAUGUUUGCCUGUCUGGGCGGAUCUACGGAUAGCAGAAGUGUUUGACAAGCAUUAGAGCCAUGCAAGACAGUAGAUAUUAAUAAGUAUUCUGCAUUUCUAAACCAAACUGUACCUGUGCAACUAUUUUUCGAAUUUGGGGCUCAAAACCCAUAUCUAGCAUCCGGUCUGCCUCAUCCAGCACAAGGUAUGUCACUCUACGUAGGUUCGUGUGGCCGGCUUCCAGCAUAUCAAUCAACCGACCAGGAGUUGCAAUGACAAUUUCAACUCCUAAAAGUGCAGGUGAUAGAAUGCAUUGAGUUUAAAAAGGCAUUCAUCUAAAAAGAAUUGAACUGGACAGAAGUGUGCAGGUACCUCUUCUAAGGUCACGUAUUUGUGGACCCUUAGGUGCACCACCAUAGACACAUGUGCUUCUAGUUCUUGAAUAUGAUCCAAAUUUUGUAGAUUCUUCCUGUAUUUGAACAGCCAGUUCUCUUGUGGGGGCGAGGAUUAAUACAAUUGGGCCAUCGCCUUGUUCUACAGGCAUUACAAUCAGGAAUUAUGAGACAGGGGAAUGGAGACAGUCAGAAAAUACAUACAGAAAGCUCAUAGCAAGUUUAUAGGAAACAAACCUAGCCGAGGCUGGGCACCAACAUGAACCAACCCAGGUAGCAGAUAAGAUAAUGUUUUCCCUGAGCCUGUUUGAGCGAUACCAAUCAGGUCCCUACCCUUCAAAGCCAUAGGCCAACCUUGAGAUUGAAUAGGAGUUGGCUCCACAAAUCCAGAUUUGGCAAUCGCUUGCAUGCAGUAAUCUGUCAAAGGAAUCGUGAAACAGUAGUAUAAGGGAAGUAUUGCGUUACUAUCGACGAGCACACGGACAGGAAACACUGGAACUAGAGCAAACCUGGGAAGUUGGCUUCCUGGAAGUAUCGGACCGGCUUGGGCACAUCCCGGCCCUCUACGGUGAUAUCCCGGAGGCGGCGGUACUGCGCCACAUCCGCCUCCGACAUAGCCUGGACGGAGGGACACUCCACGUAGAAGUUCUUCUCGAACGGUAUCAGGCUCCGGAAGUCCGGCUUAGGGAGGGCAAGCGAGUCAAGCCCGUCCCUCCCGCGACCACCUCCCCUGCCGCCACCUCCAUACCCACCACCGCCACCUCCAUACCCACCGCCGCCUCCUCUGCCGCCUCCACCACGGCCUCUGCCGCCCUGCCCGUAGCGCUGGUAGUCGCCGCCCGCGGGGGCCGCGGGCACGGGCACUGGCACGGGCGGGUAGGCGGCGGCGUAAGGGUUCGGGUUCACCGCAGCCACGGGAGCCGGCGGAGCGAACGUAGGAGCCACGGCCAGGUCGCUGCACGGGAAAUCGAAUCGAUCGAGUCACGUUCGAAUUAAUCAGAUCGGAAUAGCUAGAAUUAGGGUUGGCGUACCUGCGCCUGUCGUGGUAGGAUGAGGGGUCGGCGAAGCGGAGGUCGUAGGGGUUCAUGGCGCCGGGUAGGAGGAGCUUGGCCGGACGGGAGAGCAGGGCGAGGGCGCCGCCGUGCUCGAGGGUAAAGGCGAGGGAGGGGAUGGAUCUGCUGGUGGCGGCGGGCGGAGACGCGGUGGUCUGCUUUUUGUUGGGAGGGUGUGUCUUGGUGGCGUGCCGGAACGGACAGGGUCGGUUCGCGUGACCCACACGUGGCUCGGCCCGGUGAGCUGAGCUGCGUAGUCUGCCGUCUGCGUAGAAGGAAAGAGGCCCGGUCCACCUUCACGCUAGUCGGCAAAGGUUACGGGCCAGCUGAGAAUUGACCGCGCGGCGCGAUUUUUUUUAUUAUUAUUAGCCUUUUUGUUAAUAAUUUUCAAAUUUGACACUAUUUUUUUAAAAAAAAUCUAACCCUUUUAGCAGGCAUGUUGCGCGACUCAGAGUUAGAUUUCAAAAAAAAUUAUGUCAGAUUUAGAAAUUGUUUAAAAAAAAGGCUAAAAAUAAAAAACGCGACACGGAGCUCCUGUUCAUAACGACCUAGGUGACAACUUUUUUCUCCCUACUGCUCAGCGCCAAUAGUUUCAAAAGAUUAUUAUCAAAAAAAGUUCCAAAAGAUCAUUGAUAAACCUAAAUCAAUGAUUUUUCAAGUGGCUAAAAAAGUUAGAAGCAUGUUUGUUUGAUUUCUACGAUCAUUUUCAAAAUUUCGCUUAUAACAUUUUUUUUUGCGAGACCUAGUUACAUACGCAAACGCUUACCUACACGGGUGCACAUUUACCCUUUCAAACUUUAAUCUUAAUAAUCUGAGACUCUAUCAAAAGCUUACUAAAGGGCUAUCCAUCCCAACUAAAAAAACAAGCUUCAAUUCCAAGACUUGGUUAAAUUGAGUUUCGAGACUUAGCACUUAGGUUUAGUUAAAUUGAGUCCCGAUACUUGUCAGCACACCAAAAACACUCAAAUAUUGCAUUCUUACAAUAGUAUAACACACCUAUACUUAGGACCAGAGAUAGAAUCUAUUCCAACCUCUUGAGUUGCACAACUCUUCGUAUACCAUUUCUUCAUAACGUGUCUUCACAUGGGUUGCAAUCAACUUUGUCCCAAUCCUUGAAGAAAUUCUCCCUAAAUUUCUAAUUUAAACUAUGAGUUUCAAGACACUAUAACUUUUGGUCCAGUAGUGAAUCGAACUUGAUGUUGUAUGACUCCUCGUGGCUUGAUUAGGAUCGGCACAAGUACUUGCUUAUUCGGCUUAACCAUAACACCUUGGUUGCCAAGCCAUCGCUUGUCUUUCACCCUUGCUUAGUUCAAACUAUUCCCUUGCUACAUUUGCCUCAUUUAGCAUUUCUUGAUUUAAACCUUGCAUGUAUCAGCAAUGUGCCUUUGUUUGAAAUCAACUUAUGAUUUUGAUGAGUAUGAAAUUCAUUAUCAAUAUUCUUGAUCUAAUUGGCAAGCUAUACACUUGAGACUAACUCAUAUGCAACUAUUCCAUGUCUUUCUCACUCUCUUCCACUCAUACUUUUCAUUUUGAUCAAUUAUGUCAUUCCAAUUUUCAUAUCCCAUAAUAUAAACAAGUUUCAAAUGCAAGACCAAAAAAAAUGCAUCAAUCCAUGCCUUUUUUUCAUUGUUAGCAUUGUUUGUCAUUUCUUCACUUAUGCAUUAUUAAUUUUACUUCAACUAACAAUCAACUAUCAAUCUCUUCUCAUUUAUACAAGCAAUCCAUAACUACAACUAAACCAUAUCCACUUCUUUUGUCUCAUUUUGUCUUACUAUUUGGCUUUUAAUCGCUUAAAAUAUGGCAUGAGUUUGAUGUGAUCACUUACAAUGAAACAUGUCCAAAACUCAAUAGUUCUCUAAUUUUUUGUCACUCAACCACACAACUAACUAGAAGUAGAUGUACUUUCAAGUAGGUCUGAUGACGCCCUUUUGGGACAAUUUUAUCUAGUUUUUGGUGAUAAUGAUCCUGCAUAUAAAUUUGAUCAAAACUAGAUGACACUUCAUUAGUUGAAACUAGGUGAAUUCUCCGUGCGUUGCUGCGGGAUUUUCUUAAAAAUAAAGCAUUAUAUACAUAGCACUACUAUGUGGUAUUUAGUCUAUUAUAUAUGUACACAUAUGAAUUUGACUUGCAUGUAUUUUAUUGUAUUAGAUCUAAUAAAAAAUUGCUAAGCUAAUAAAACAAAAACUAAUAUUUGGUUACAUUAUAGAGGAAUUAAUUGGUGAUGAAACAAAUAAUGUAUGUACAUGACUUGUAUGUGAAUAUAUUAAAGAUUUAAAGUAUUUCACAUGAUAUAGAUGAUAUGGUUAUUUUUUAUAAUUAAUAUAGAAUGACAUGGACUUAGUGGAGAAUGAUGUGGACAUAUUGCAUGAAGAGAUAAAAUAUUUAGUGAAUCACUUAGUGGGGAAUAAUGUGGACACCUUGCAUGAAGAGAGAAUUCGUCUAGUAGGGUUUAGCUUUAUAAAAGUUAUAGAUGAUUUGUACAUAUAAUUUAGCCUUGUCUCUUUACAACCAAGUGUUGAUGAUCAAAAUGUUACAAUAGUAGCCAUCAAAACUCACUCAGCUCGUGAGCUUGUUGGACGUAACUAGCUGAAACUCUAGCUUGGCUUAUUAAAAAAACAAUGUAUCGAGACAAAGUUAGAAAAAUAAAUCGAGUGACCUAAUGAGCUAUGAGAUUUUCGUCUAGCCAUAAAACGACUUUUAAAUCCAAGUGUUUGUCAUAACUUCGACUAUAAAAAUUUUCUAGGUUGCCUAUUUAUGCAUCUUUUUUUUCUAAGCUAAUGACAUUAUUGUCAUAUUGAAUAAAGAUACUUACUCUAGUGGUUUUCUUGUUUCUUUCAAUCUAACACAUAUUUAAGUAUUUUAAAAUUAUAUCCAACAAAAAUCUUAUACACAAAUCUUAGAGUUAAAUUUGUGCUAAGUAAGAGCCGUGGAUGAGGUGUUAACCAAUGUGUGGUGAUAGUUCCCUGUAUAAAAGUGUGUGUGCAUAAUCUACACAUCAUAUGCUUGUUCGAUUUUCCAUAAAACCAUUAUAAGAAUAUAUAAUUACAAAAAAGAUGUGUGUCUAGUAGAAGAUAAUGUUACAAAGAUCAUUCUUUGUCAUGUAUCAGUCUAACAACACUACAAAAGUGCUAAAAAAGCAAUACAAAAAUAAUAAGAUGAGAUUGGUGAUAGACUAUGAAAACAUUCUACUUGUUUUGAGAUUGGACCCAUUAUCAUGUUUGGAUGCAUGCACUGCUCUAUCUUGUAUAGGAACGUGAGAUAUUAGAUCUAUUGAAUUCGCAUCGGAUGGUGGCUAAGAGAUCUCUCUCUAUUUAAUAUUAGGUAGGAAGGAGAAGAGAGAAAAUGCUUGUUGAAAAAUACUAGCGGUAAUAUAUAUAUAUAUAUAUAUAUAUAUAUAUAUAUAUAUAUAUAUAUAUAUAUAUAUAUAUAUAUAUAUAUAUAUAUAUAUAUAUAUAUAUUUUGUCUUCCAAAAUUUAAGGCCUUUUCGGAGUGAAGGAUUUUUUCCAUUUCAUGUGUUUUCCUCUAUAAAAAUGAUCUGAUUACCUACACAAUUAUUGUGAAAUUGCUGGUGUGCAAAGAGUUUUCUUGUCUUGUCUUGAGCCCUGUUUAGUUCAUCCAAAAACUAAAAACUUUUCAAGAUUUUUUGUCACAUCGAAUCUUGCGACACAUACAUAAAAUAUUAAACAUAGUUAAAAACAAAAAUACAGUUUGCUUGUAAAUCAUAAAAUAAAUUUUUUAAACUUAGUUAAUUUAUAAUUAAAUAAUAUUUGUCAUAAAUAAACGAAAAUGCUACGAGCGCCGAAAACUUUUGGUUUCGACGACUGAACGAGGCCUCGUGAAAAAAGUCUUGACCACCACUUCUUCGUAGCGCAGACGUCGAGACGGCAGGCCGAUCUGGCGAAAUAUUUCAGUCGCCCCCCUCCUUCAACCUCCAGAUCUGGCCACUCCCACACGCCCAGUCUCCUAAACCCUACACAUCUCCUCUCUCGGCCACGGCAACUGCCAUCGCCAUGGCCGGGAGGCGCCCGGCACCGGCGGCCCUCCUCCUCCUCCUCCUAGCCGCAUCCUUCGCCCCCAUCUCCUCCGCCGUCCGCCCAGUCUCCGACGCGCACAGAUCCGCUGCCGCGGAGCUCUUCGCCCCCUCCGCCGAUGGAUCCUUCGGCGAGUAAGUGCACUACCAACUCUCAAACGCCUUACGUCUUCCCGAUCUCGGCCACCCUGCCCCGCAGGCACAGUAGCCAUCCCAGCUGGGCACAGAUCGAUCUGCCUGAUUGAAUUCAUGCUUACGUUUGUUUAUCUGGUGGUUUGAUCUGCGUGACUGUGCAGUUUGGAGAGUACGUAUGAGGCGGUGAGGACUUUCCAGAUACUCGGGUUGGAGAACUAUAAGAGUUUGUCUGGGAAGGCGUGCAAGUUUGCUGCGGAGAACUUGGCUUCCCCCGGUUCCACCGCGAAAGAUCUGUUCCACGCAGUCCGGAUCAGUGGCGCGCUCGGGUGCGGUGUUGAUGCCGGCGUGUACGAUGUGGGUGUUGGCUUUAGAGAUCUCGAUUUUGCCACCUGUAUUGUGAUGUUUGAUGGGGUUUUGAGUAUUGUUCAUUUUGGCAGGGUGUUGUGGCAACGCUCAAGGCAGUGAUUAAGGAUACCAAUUCCCUGUUGGAAUUCUACUAUUCUGUGGGAGGUUUGCUUAGCAUCAAGGUCACUGCCUCUAAUGCACUUUUUGAUACUUCUCUGUUACUCAUGGCUGCUCCUAAGUGCUUAAUUGAGUUUUAUGUGGUAAUUGAUAUAUUUUUUUGUUUUUUCCAUUUAUUUUUGCAGGAACAAGGCCAUAAUGUUGUUCUGUCUGAUGCAGAAAGUACAUUUCAUGCCAUUAAGGUGAUCACAAUUUGAUAUAACAGUGGAUUUUCCAUAUAUAGUUUUCUGCAAUGUGUAUUUUCUUCUUCAAUUCAAUAUCAUCUUAUGUUAUAUUUAUCAUUGUUACUCUAGGCACUUAGCCAAAGCGACGGAAGAUGGCGUUAUGACACUAACAGUGCUGAAUCUAGCACAUUUGCUGCUGGUAAGUGUUCUUGGUGACCUUCUCUGCUGGAAUUUGGAAACUUGGAAUAAAAUCAGGGGCGGAUCCAGGCCCUGGGCGCCCGGGCUACAGCCCGGGGCGCAGCCCAAAAAUCCCUUUAACAGCUCUGUGUCCAGCCUAAGAUAGCCAAUGAAAACAUACAUUUAGCCCUACCCGACAUGGCCCAAGAAUCCCUUAUACUAUUUUCAGCCCCCCCUCCCCCUUCUUCGAGGUGUUUCUGGAUCUGCCACUGAAUAAAAUAGGCUAUUACUUGUAGGUAAGCAAUAUGACACAACAAAAAAGCCUAGUAGCAAGCAAGUCAGGGUAGGCUAGAGAUGCAAUCCAACAUGAUCUACCAGCAAAUAAGGAAAAAACUUAUAUAUAUUAUAUAUAGGUAAAAGCAUUGAUAUUUUGCUUCCAUUCUGCACAUUCUUAGUUAGUCCAUCUCUUUCUGUAGCUUGUUUCAGCUCCAGGAGAAUUCAACUACAAAGAUAGUGCAUGUCACUGAUGUUUAAUAAUAAUGUAUUAUCACAGGUAUCGCACUAGAAGCAUUGGCGGGCAUUGUUUCACUGGCAGAUGCAGAGAUUGAUUCAUCCAUGGUGUGUAUGCGCUCUUUGCUGGUUAAUAACGUAGAGCUUCCACAUCAUGCUGUUGAUACCCCAUUUAUCCCAAAUGCUUAACCCCCACCCCUUUAUUCCAAUAUCUGGAUAUGAUGACCUGACAUGUUUUAUGACCCUGUUUAAAAAGGUGCAUCCCUGUAUUUUUUUCUGAACAAAUGUGAUUUUGCACUUUUGAUAUUCCCAGGAUAUUUAGGUGCAUGCUUGUGUUGGAUGCUCAGUUUUCCUAUUUUGCUUCUAAGAGUUUGUGGGUGAAGGGUCCUGAUAGGAUUUAUGUAUAUAGCUAUUUAUGCUUUGCAUUGUUCUCUGCCACUACCACUAUCCAUCAAUGUGUAUAUGUUUUGCUGAUUGAUGGUCUUGUUUUUAAUUCCACCAGAUGGCAGUGGUUAAAAACGACAUCAUGAAGCUUUUUGACACCAUCAAGAGCUAUGGUAUGUUUUUUCUAGCUUUCCUUAUACUUGAUGAUGAAAACUUACAGCAGAAGAGCAUAAAAAAAAUGCACUUAAAAUGAGUGGGAUCUGUCCACCUUUUGUGAACUUUAAGCUUGCCACCUCAUAGGAACAUAGGAUCCCCCCCCCUCCUCCUCCUCCUCUCGUCACCACUCAAUUCUGGUGCUGAUACUUUGGCUAUGUCAUGAAAUUGCUGAAUAUAUGGGAGGACCGAAUUAUAUGUGAUUGGUACUCAACAGAAAGUUUUUUUUCCGUCUUUUUUGGGCGGGGUGGGGGUGGGGAGGUGGACUAGUGAAGUCAUGUUCAGCUGAAUGUUAUAUGGUUACUUGGUGUACUAGUUUCUUAUAUGUUAUCUGUACUCAGAUGAUGGGACCUUCUACUUUGAUGAAAAGCAUGUUGAUGCUACUGAAUACAAGGGUCCUAUAAUGACUUCCGCUUCAGUGGUACGGGGUGUCACCUCAUUUGCAGCUGUUGUUUCUGGAAAAUUGAAUGUGAGUAUUUUUUUUACCUCUUGCACUUAUUACUUAUUCCCUAAAUUUAUGUGUAAGCAUCUUUCUUAUGUAACUAUAUAUACUCAAAUGUACAGAUCCCUGGUGAGAAAAUACUUGGCCUGGCAAAGUUCUUCCUUGGUAUUGGGCUCCCAGGUAGUGCAAAGGACUGCUUUAAUCAGAUUGAGUCUCUGUCGUUCCUGGAGAACAAUAGGCAAGUCUUCUUUAUUGUUCUUGAGAAUAUCCAUAUCUGUUCUGCUUUUAUUUAAUCGGAUAUAUUGCCUGUUGCAUAUUGGUGAAUCAGCAUAUCAUUUGUUUGGUCCUGCUGCAAGUUAUUUUUUGCUUAUCUAUUUUCUGCGUUUUGCAGGGUCUUUGUUCCUUUGAUACUGUCACUUCCUUCCAAAGUAUUUUCAUUGACUUCGAAAGAUCAGCUUAAGGUGAUUAUUGCAUGCCUAUCUUGUAUUCUGUAGCUAAAGGAAUAACAUCCAGUGUGAAAAUGACGCACGGGGCCUUGGACCACAAUUCCUGACAUCAGAUGUUAAUUUCUGAUUACUACACCUCUGGUAUUGCCGAGCAAUUUGCCCAAUGCUAGAAUUAGUAUGCAGUGAGUAAAACUGUACAGUAUCUUGUUGCAGUGUCGCUACUCAUUGCUUUUGAGUUUGUUGUGUUUAAUAAAGUGUUUGUUAGUCCCAGUUUUGUUGUCCUCAUUACAUGAUCUUUUCAGGUUGAAGUUACAACAGUUUUUGGAUCUGCUUCACCUUCACUCAAAGUGAAUCUUGUGCAAGUGUUGGGAUCUGACUCUAAAGUCAUCACCAAUGAGAACAAGGUAUAUAGCUGAAUCAAUGGCUUCCUCCAGGAACUUCCUUGUUAUAGUUAUUGUUUUUGUGUGUUGCAGCAGAAAUUCCCUAAUGUUAUUCUCCUUUUUGUCUCAGGAACUUCAAUAUGACCUUGACAACAAUGUCCAUUACUUGGACAUUGCUCCACUGAAAAUAGAUGUUGGGAAAUACUCAAUAGUUUUUGAGGUACUUGCACUUUACAUCUUAUUUAUAUGUUAGUAGUUGGCAUUCUUUAUAAUGGCCCUCUUGUACUCCAGAUUUCACUUCAGGAACCAGAGCAUGAGACAGUUUAUGUUACUGGAGGGAGAAACACCGAAAGUGUCAUUGUCACAGGACUGAUCAAAGUCAACAAGGCAGAAAUAGGAAUCUCUGACAAUGAUGCUGGGACCGUGGAGUCUGUCCAAAAGUAUGGAUUAGAAGUUAUAUAUGAGUUCACGCUAUUUCAUUUAAAAUGAGUUAGCUAAACCUUUGAAGCACACUUUUUAUUCUUGAAUGAGUAAUUUCUUCAAUAUCAUAUCGUUUAUCCUUGUAGUGUUUUGAUGGCUGAUCUUAUCUAAUUUAGUCAUAAGAACGAUUUGGAUAUAUAAUAUAUUCUGCAUUUUAUUCUUCCUAUAGAAGAACUUAGCGUUUACCAUUUUUUAAUUGCUUGAUUUCAGGUUAGAUCUUCUGAAAGAUACAAAAGUGUCUCUUUCUGCAAACCACCUGCAGAAGCUGCGUUUAUCCUUUCAACUAACCACACCGCUCGGGCACACAUUUAAACCUCACCAGGUUGCCACUCACUUUGAUAUUCUGAUACCAUGAUGGGGAUAUUUUUCCUUACAUCAUUUAAUCAUUUAGCAAAUGUGUUCAGGUGUUCUUGAAGUUGAAGCAUGAGAGUAAGGUUGAACACUUAUUUGUGGUACCUGGCUCUGCAAGGCAGUUCAAAAUUGUUCUUGUGAGUAUCUCCACACUGGAAUUUGCUUUGUUAGUUCUUUGGAUGCUCUUAAUUCAUUGUGGCAAUGUGGCCAAUAGUUUAGAACAGGCAUUUAACUAUCUCGAAAAGUUGCACCUAUAUACCAACUCAAAUUUUCAACGGUGAUGUUUAGGCAAUGAAGCCUGUUUUCAAGUUUUUUAUUUUGUAGUCAUGCUUAUGGGAAGCAGCACUGGGGGUAUGUACUAUGUAGGUGGUGCAACUGACAAAUUGAGGUUUAAAACAUCUAGUUGCAUUUUUGUGGCGAUAGAUUUUGUUCAAUAUGGUAUGUUGAUGUAGUGGUAUGCGUAGCAUUUUGCUUGGAAUCCAUCGUCCAAGUCCUUGAAAUUUUCUGAAGGGUUUAGAGGCAUUGAUUGUGACAUGGUUCCUUAUAUGCUAUUUUGACUUGUAGGAUUUCCUAGGUUUGGUGGAAAAAUUUUACUACCUUUCUGGAAGAUAUGAUCUUGAGCUUGCCGUUGGUGAUGCUGCAAUGGUAAGCAACCAUAUAAUUUUAUCCUACUACUAUAUAUGGUCCCCAUUUGUUUGCUUUGCUGAUUUUCUUUGUGUUCAGGAAAAUUCAUUUCUACGAUCCCUUGGCCAUUUGGACUUGGACCUACCAGAAGCUCCAGAAAAAGCCCCACGUCCUCCUGCACAAGCUGUUGACCCAUUCUCAAAAUUUGGGCCAAAGGCAGAGAUAGCACAUAUAUUCCGCGCACCAGAGAAGAGGCCACCCAAGGAACUCUCGCUUGCUUUCACGGGUCUCACGCUUCUACCUUUUAUCGGAUUCUUGAUAGGGGUGAGUAAAAUAGUCAUGCUAGUCAUGUAUAAUUCUUACAUUUGCUUCGAAUCAAAGUUUCUGCCUGCUCUAGUGCAACUGAUGGAGGGCCUUCUCUUGCAGCUCAUGCGUCUUGGAGUGAACUUGAAGAACUUCCCAUCCUUGCCAGGACCGGCUGCAUUUGCCUCACUUUUCCAUGCUGGAGUAGGAGCAGUCCUGCUGCUCUACGUUCUCUUCUGGCUCAAGGUUUGCCUUGUUCCUUGUGAUAAAUGUUACUUGUGAAAACUGUGGCUGAUGUUCACUUCCAUUUUGGAACUGUCGCUGAUGUUCACUUCCAUUUUGGUGCAGUUGGACCUUUUCACAACUCUGAAGUACCUUGGCUUCCUCGUCAUCUUCCUUGUUUUUGUGGGCCAUAGGACCCUAUCCUACCUUUCCUCCGUGUCGACAAAACAGAAGACGGCAUAAUUGGACAAUGCAAACAGAGUUUUCCCGAUCAUCAAUUUUUGAGGUGGCCAUUGCAGGCCGUUGAGUGUCUUUUCGUGGCACUCUGACCGCACCCUAGAUUUUCAUUAGCUACAUGCAUUUUGAGGGAGGACUCGGUUUAUUUCAGUUGCCUUCGAUGAAUACUGAUACUAGGAAAAGUAGGACCUCACCUUCGUGUAUUAUGAUGAUGCACUGACAAUUUCUGAAUAGAAUGGAUGUUUAAUCAUAGAACUCAUAAUAUGAUCACUUGCGUUCGCCCUAAAAGAUACAGCAUGCUUAAGCGUGCUGAAAUGUUACAGUACCAUUCAGUAUUCUACUUUUUAUCUUUAUUAAUUUUCUUUCCUUCAGUUCUGAAGGAGGCCCUAAUCUAAUCUUCAUAGCCGCCCUAAACUUGAAGCUACUUAAGAGUACAUACGUCCAGUGGUGCCAGGGAAUGCUACGGGAGAGAUUAAUUAGAGGCUAGGAUGUGAAGUAUCAAUACUAGAGUCUGCUACUGGUGCUAUGACUACUUGGAAAGAGUUUCUACUGGAAUUAGAGUCUGCUACUAGAGUCUGCUACUGGAAUUAGAGGCUAGAACUCUUCGGGUGUUCUAAGGAAUAAAGUUCGACUUGCACCUAAAUGAAGGAAUAAUAGGUGUACAUGCUCAUAGUUAUACAUAUAUAUCAUCUUACGAUCUACUCGCUUCAUCCUUUGUCCAGAUCUAUAGCUAACAAAUUAUUUAUUUUGGACGGAGGGAGUAAUAAUAAGGGUGUUAAAGGAAUAAAGUUUGAUUUGCACCUAAAUGAAGGAAUAAUAGAUGUAAAACAUGAAAAACUAAAAUGUUUUAUUACGAAAAUAAUAGACAUUUAAAUUCAAGUUCAAAUACUCAAAAAACUAUGUCGGUUUUUCAUUAAGAGAGUACAUGAUGAUUUGUUAUGGAGUAGGGUGGGGUGGGAUACACUCCAAAAAUUCUCGCUUCUCUCUCCCGCGUCGCUCUCUAUACAGGGCGACACGGGGGACGACUUCCCACCUCUGUCUCCACCACCACCAGUGAGCACUCUCGGCCGCCGCCGUCAGCUUGCGGUGACGGCGGCCAGCUAUGGCACCCAAAACGACCACCCCAUAGCACCUUCCCCUUUCUCUCUUCCCUUUUUCUCCCCUCCUCUUCCUCCAACUUCAGGCUUGGAGCUUGGUUGGCUGGUGAUGUGCUCGGGCUUCAUAUCCGGGACCCCUUGGGCCGGAUCCGACGCUUCCCACCACGGAUCCCGUGGGCGGUCCACCUCGGUGGCCGGCGUACGCGCUGGCGCAGCGGUAGUGACAGGCGGCCAGAUCCAGGCGGUCUCGCCCUACACCUGGCCAGUGCGCUGUUGCCGUCACGUGUCGGAGGUCGGGUUCGCAGGUCCCGUCCACCCUGCCGGUGUCACCUGCUCGGCACUGGACGCCUGCUCCUCCCCGUGGGGCACCGGCUGGGGCCUGUGGUCCCAUGCGCCAUGCCCAGGCGCUCACGGGUCGGUGGUGCGGCUAGUGGGUACUCCACGACGCGGCAGGGGGACCUCGCGGCUCGGAACCGGGCUCUGGCCAUCCCGCGGCUCGGCUUGCCAGCGUACUUGCAUUGCGUCUCAAUCCUGGGCUGCAGUUCUGGCGGUUUGGAGGCUCCUACGUCUGGCGGGCAGGGCUUUGUGGCUAUUGGCCAUGGCCGAGCCACCAUCUCCUGGCGCUGCAACUUGGGAGGGCCACCACCAUUUGGUGGCCAGCGACUCCGUGGGCCGGUGGCAGGGGCCAAGAGACCCCCCAACGACUGUGGUCAAACAAGCUCCUGGGUGAAAACCCUGCCUGACUUCUUGCUUUAGGCCGGUGGCGAUGGCGCAACUGCGUCAUCCACCUUCUUGAAGGCGUCGUUGAAAGAUCGGUUCGUCGCACGGGUCCUUGGGGGGCGGUUUAGGGACGAAAGUCCUUCUUGAGCCUUUUUUCAACGUUGUUGGUGUCCGCGGACGUCAUGCCCUCCUUGGAGGCUUCGUUGUUGGCCACCCCCUGUCGAAACCGCUUCGUGCUCGUGUUGUGUCUACCUGCACUUCAGCUUUCUCCUCGCUUGGGUCUAUCCACCUCGGGUGUUGGUGUCGCUGCAGUCGUCUUCUUCGCAAUAGCUACCUGUCCACUGGCGGAUAUGUCUUCUUCUUCGCAGCGACUACCUGGUCGCUGGUGUUUACGGUCGUCUUCCUCUUCGCAAUGACUACCAGGUCGUUGUGGAUGGAUGGAUGGUUGCUGAGCUCUCCACAACAGCUACCUGGUCGUUUGUGGAUGGAUGCCGAGCUAUCCGUAGUAGCUAUUUGGUCACUUGCGGAUGGAUGCUUUACUACUUAGCUUCACCCACCCUGACCCUUGCGUGGAUGUUUUUUUUCUUUAGCAGGCAUAAUCAGUGGUGUUUAGUGGUGGAGGUCCAACACCCCCCCGAACCUCAUGUGUUCUUGUUGUUCGUUUGUCUUUGGGAUUUCACCAGUAAUCAUAGGAUUAUCUACGAGUCCAUGUAUCCGUGUUCCGGUCUUUCUUUGGCUCUUCCUCUUAAUGAAAAACGGGUAAAGACCCGAUUGUGAAAAAAAUCCAACACAAAUAUAAUAAUCUAUCAUUACAUGUUGCUGAAAACAACCUACUACAACAAAAAUCUGGUUGCCUCUUUGCCUUCCUCUUGUUCUUCUAUUACUUCUUGUUUAGCUCUUGCAUAAGCUUGUGUGCAAGUUUUCUUGAUGUAUGAGAAGUAGGAUUGCUUGUUAAAGCGUGAUUAGGAUAGAUUUAUUUUCUGCUCUAAUGAUCUUUCUCUUGUUUUAGCUUACGUCUAGCUAGCUAGUUGUCUUUUUACAUUAUAUAGAAACUUAUGAUAGAUUUGCUAAGCAUGUUGCUCUAGGUCUUCUUGCUAAGAAUAUGUUAGAAGUGAUGGUCCGAUGGACUCGUGUGCCCUUUUAUUAAAACUUAGAGCCACCGCGCUAGGGGAAGUAAUCCUUGCUUAGAUUAAGAUUGUUAUUGUUUAAAAAAAAUAGAUUAAGGUUGUUACAUUAUAUUUCAUAUGUUUCAAUUCACUGUGCUAGGAGAUUACCUUGGUAUGUCGUCAUGGGGCUGCCACUGCAAGCAGCCAAGCACGGGGAUUGCUUACCGAAGCAACGACUAUUUGGAGGCAGCCUUUCACGACCAAGGACCAAGGAGACGAAUUUUAUUGUCGUAGGCUAGGAGCCUAACACGAUUCUACGUGAAUUGCAUAUAAUUUUUUUGACACGAAAUUCAGAAAAUGAGGUACACAGUGCUCGUAACAAAACUGGAGCAUUUUCUCCGUGUGUAUUUUUUUUAAAGGUAACUCCGUGUGUAAAAUAAGUUUCAGAUGUAACAAGAUAACAAAUGCCUAUAUACUUCUAGUUACAUGCAUGCUGGAUCUGACGGGAUGCGGUGGAAGCUAUCUUUACAAACUACUGGGUUCUUCAAAGUCUGCUCUCAAUACUCGAUACUUACUGUGCUCGUCCUCGUGGGGGGAAACCAUCUUGGUUUAGUUUGAUUAGUCGUAAAUCGUUUCUGCUUGAUGGCAAAAACAAUGCCAGCUUAUUCGAGCUCCUGGGUCCAGGUCAGUCCUUGCAAAGAAUACACCAAUGACAGACGACUCUCACUUCUGCCAUUCCACUGAAAAAAAAACGCGUGGAGUAAACCACAUUCUGUGAUUUCAGGGCUACUUAAGGUUGUCAUUUUGUCGCCUGGCUAAUCUUGAAUAUAAACCACCCUUCUCAAUAAGAUCAAUGUGUUUACCAUCCUGCAAAACCAUACAAAGAACCUUGAACUUAAGAAACCAAAUGAUGCUGAAAGCGUAUAAGAUAUUGUAUAAGAUCACAACAGCACUACGAGUUUGCGCUCUGAAUUAAUGAGGCAGCAACAGUUGAAAACAUACCUCCACGAUAUUACCAUUUUCCAUGACAAUAAUUCUGUCAGCUGUUUGAAUUGUAGAUAGCCUACACAAGGAAAAAACACCAAAAUCUGAAGCAUCCUUUAAAUUUUAAUACACAAUUUCACUGUGGGGAUCUCCCCUGCAGUAUUUGCGUAAACACCAAAAUCUGAAGCAUCCUUUAAGUUAUAAUACAAAAUCUCACUGUGGGGAUCUCCAGGCAUGUUCAAAAAUCAAGAUAGCAAACACCUGUGUGCCAAGUAUACAUUACCUGUGUGCUAUGAUUACCACAGUCCUUUUAGCCUUCGAAUCUCGACUAACUUUUGUGAUGACGCUCUAGUUAGACAGAAAGAAGAUAUCAAUAGUUUUUUCCUAGGCACAUUUGGAUUGUAUAUACACCAUUUAAACUCAUACGAUAUUCAAAUUCUUACAUUAAUGAUUUACCUUGACAUAAUGUUCACUCUCCGCAUCAAGCGCACUAGUGGCUUCAUCAAGAAGUAAGAUAGAUGGGUCCCUCAGAAGGGCCCUGGCAAUAGCAACACGUUGUUUCUGACCUCCGCUGAGAAGAGCAUCAUCAACAAUGGUGUUAUAACCAUCAGGCAAAGCCAUUAUGAAAUCAUGAGCAUAGGCCUGCUUUGCAGCCCAGACCACUUCUUCAUGACUGACUUCUCUUGGGCAACCAUAUUUAAUAUUAGAGCUAAUAUCCAUUCGGAAUAAGCGUGGUUCCUGCAUACACCAAAACAUGGUUGUUCAGUAAAACAUAAGUCUCAUACGGUACUUAAUGUAUGUGGAGUUGAUCCUCAACCUGUCCGACGAAACCAAUUCUUUCCCUGAACCAUCUGAUAUCAAGCUCAGUGAGUGGGACACCAUCAAUUAGUAUCUGCAUCAGCACACAAGUGUGAGAUAUACAAUCAAAGGAUGAUUCUGGAAGUGUGAAAAGCUGAGACCACAGUUACGAACAGCUUACUUGCCCAUUUGUAGGUUCGUAUAGUCUAAGUAGUAAAUUGAUUAUAGUACUCUUGCCACUUCCACUAAGACCAACCUACCAAGUUCCAUCAAUAAAGGUAGUAAGACAUCCAAUAUCAGUCCAUGAAAAUUAACUGACAAAGAAAAUAUCAAGACCCAUAUGUCUUACAAUUGCAACUACUUCAUUUGGAUUCAGUGUCAGAUUCAAUCCUCCCAAAAUUGGUACCUGUUAGAAAUAAAAAAGGGUAAAUGAAGGGCCACAUAAACCCUUGCCAGCAUUUAUAAUUACAAAGUAUCCAUACUUCAGAGUUCAAUCAUCACAUUUUCUUAAACUUCUCCUGGAUAUUAAAUGUUAAGAUCAGAAGUACCAGUUCAUUGACAGUACUUGUAAACAUAAAGUAUAAAAAACUGUGUAAGCAUACCGUAGGUCUUGAUGGAUAUGAAAAUGAUACAUCAGCAUACUGAAUUUUCCCUUUCAACUUCUCUAACUUGAGGCCUGCAAUGAUGAAAAGCUUUAUAUUACUGAAUUGCAAUGCCUCCAAAGAAUUAGUCUUACAGUCAUGCACACAUUUCCUUGCCUUCAGAGCUAAGCUGCUUGCUAGGAAGGAGAUCCAUCAAACGAAAAACUUUUUCACUUGCUCCGACAGACUGCAUCAGGGAGGACCAGUUGUCUCCAAUCCACCAUGUGGACAAAAUUAGCCAUUCAGCAUAUAGUGUGAAUUUUGUCAACUGCUCAGCAGUUAACUUCCCAGACAUGAUUGCUAGACCUCCAAUCACCACUCCAAUGACCUACGCAAAGCUUAUUUGCAAGAGUACUUCAUCAAGGGUGUAAAGGCUUUAACAUCACCAGAUAAUAUUACAAAUUACUCUGAUGUUUAAUUAAAAGAAAAACAAUAGCAGAGGAGAUACCUGAGUAGAAUGGUAUAGAUAGUUCAAGCUCAGGCUCCAGCCUCCAUAAGCCACUGUCUGCCGAAAGCUUACAUCAUACAGCUUAUCAAGCCACUUUGCAUACCUAUCGAAGACUCAAAGGUAUUAUGGCACUUGACACAUACAAAGUGUUAACUGCAAUGGACCUAAGAGACAAGAAAAAAAGAAAGCAUAGAAAUUGCCUUUUAAACUCCUGCUUUUCCGUUCCAUACACUCGCACUGUCCUAACCAAAGUUAUCACCUCUUGAGCAACCUGAAUUACAUCCGUGUAAAAUAUUAAGGCGUAGGAAGGAAACAAAGUUGACUCUAGCAAAUGGCUUAUUUGUCUCAUUACAAAAAUCUUACAUUAUUGGCGCUUGCGGUGAACUCCUGUGCAAAUUUAGCUGCCCUUUUCUGAAACCUACCAAUCAAGUAGUAAUGUGAUGGGUUGAGUUCUCUCACAUACACCAAAAAUGCAAGCCAACAAAUAUAUUUCUAUAAUAAGCCUCUUUUUGCACAGCACUAGCAAUCUAAUGGUACAAAAUUGAACUAAAGUUUAUGAACAGACAAACAAAGGAUAGUAUCUUUUACCGUCCAUGAACUAGCAUAAUUGUUGAUAGAGUGGCACAAACAAACAUUGUACACAAUCCGAGAGGCCAAGAUAAGACUAGCAGAUAAAUUAAUGCACCUGCACCCUGAGAUAAAUUAAUGAAAUAGCACAUGAGCUUUUCAAACACUGAAUGAUGUUCAAUGUAAGAACUCCAAAGAAAUUUUCACCUGAAGUAAAUUGCGUGAAAUCAGGUUAAGGUCGUUGCCUAUAACACGAGACACUUGUUGGCAGUCCGAACCAAGUCUACUUGUCAAAUCACCGACUGUUUCUUCAUCAAAAAAGGAAAUAUCCUAGCACAAUGUAACUACAGUAAAAAUCAUAGUGGUAUGGUUGAGCAAAAAAAAAAGCAUAACAAAUUUUCUUUCAGCUUCCAUACUUCUGCAUUCUUUCUUACCUGUGAAAGAAUGGAAUCAAAUAGUUCCUCUCUCAUACGUUUGACCUAAGAAAAAUUCAGAUGAUGAGGGUUAUAGGCAGAUCAUAUGGAAACAGUAUGGAACGAACAAACUUGUUAGGACAUGAGGAAUCUAACAUGGUUUUACCAAUAUCAUGUUUGCAACACCAAAACAGCAGCUUCGUACACCACUGCAAGUUAGGGAUACCACUACAUAAGCAACCUCAUUUGUUUCACAAAAUCAUGCAGAAUGAAAUAAUCAAUUUUAAUAAUUCUGCACAGAGUAUCAUGAAAAAGCUCCCCGUUUCCGUUUGUACGAAUCUGUAUAUGUGCAUUUUUCAUAAUGGUCUGUAGCAAGCGUGAUUUUCUGGUUCUCUAUGAUCCUGCCUUUUGUAUUCAUCAUUAUAUUGCAGAUACAUCAAAACUUCAUGCUCAGCGCCCCCCCCCCCCCCCCAACACACACACACACACAAAUGUUUCAGAGUGAUACUACCAAACUUUGCUGAUCACAUAGAGAUUUCUGAACCAUACAUUACACACUAAGUCUGCAGAAAACAACAUUUUACUGAUAUAAACAGUAGAGCCUAUGAUUAGCUGCUUCCAUUGACUGUGAGCAAACGGGUGAGUCGAAUAGCAAAAUGUGUGCCAUUUGAUACCAUGGUCAAUAUGAGCACAAUCUGAGCAAAAUACAACUAACCUAAACACCCCGGACACCAGACAUAGGACAACCAGAAGCUUGGCAUUUCGAUAGAACACCGCGCCUCCAUUCUGCGCAGAGAAAAUGGACGCCGCAAGGAGAUGUGGUAUGGCGAUCUCCGCAAGCUGCAAUGGCAACCGAAGCACAUCACUAUGCUCACCAACAAACACUGAAAACUAGAUAAAUCACUAAACAACCAUAGCACACUGUCAUGGGCUCAUGGCUGUCAAGCCUUACCGCAGCGCCUACGAGGGACGCAAAGCCGGCGUAGAUGACCCAUCUGUCGCCGGCGACGAGGGACCACAUCCGCCUGAGCGCGGAGACGGCGGUGGUCCCGCUCCCCUCGGCGCGGCCGGCCCCGUCCCCGGCCUCAUCGCCGUCCUCGAGGCGCCACCAGCUGCCCCCGGGCAGCACGUUGCGCAGGCGCUCGAUGAACUCCCCCACGACGACGCGGCGCCGGCCGAGGCCACCGAACUCGCCGCCGAUCGCCGCGGCGGCGCGGAUCCUCGCCGGCCGCAGCCGCCGCUGCCUUGGGGCCCGGAGCGGCGCCCGCCUCGCGGCCAGGGUCAGCGACAGCGUGCGAGACCCCGGGGCCGCCGUGAGGAGCAGCAUCGCAGCCGGAGCCGGCAUUUCGCGGUGUCGAAACCCCUCAGCUAGGCGCGCGAGACUCGAUCUGGACUCCGGCUCGCGGCCGCGCGAUUUCAAAUAGCGUGGCGAGGCCAAGGGCGACGCUGACGGUUGCGUCCUCGCCGGAGCUGGGCUGGUUGGGUUGCCGUGCGCGGCACUGGCACCGCGAGUGCGCGACGACUCUCCUCCUCCUCUUCGUCCGGCUGCUCUGCCUCGUUGUGUUUUUUUUUCUUUUUCCUUCCUCGCUGUCUUUUUCAGUUUUCUGUCUGGAAUCGAAAAUGAAAAAAGGAAAAAUGUGUGCCGUUUUGUUUUCCACGCGCGUGUUUGCGUUGCGAAAGUGCUUGGUUCGGUGGUGGUGGAAUUUCUUGGAUUUUGGAAAUUGUAUGGCUAUCAUUGAGUUGCGAGGUUUUUGGAUUGGCUUUGGUUUACGCUGCGAGGAAACGGACUUCUCCUGUGGUCGUGGGUGGUUCCUGAACCUCGUGUUGCUGCUGGCCUGCUGCUGCUUCGAUGCAAACGACAAGGGCAGUACUAGCAGUGAUGGAAAUAACAUAUGGCAUACAAAAAUUUCAUCUGUAAUUUGACAAAAAUAUAUUUAUUAAUUUGGUAAGUAAUUAUAGAAUUUGCAGAAUAAUUUGUUAUAUAGACACUAAAUAACAUAAUAACUCUUAUUAGUUUCAAUAAUAGUUCAAAUGCAAUAUUGAUAGUCAAAAAUAUAGGCAUAAAAGAGACAUAGAAUACUAUAUGUCUAACUUUUCAACUGCCGUUUUUUAAAGGAUAUGAAUGUUUUGAUUAAAUCAUCUUUAUCUAACUCAAAGAAAAUAUCCGCACAAACAUAUGACUACUAGACACUCGCCCACCCUAUUUGUUAAUUUUAUCUAGUGAUGAGUGACACUGAUCUGACUAAUCUAAACAGGUACAUAAAUAAUUAUUGAUAAGUAAUUAUGUACACAUAUUAUUUAGAAAUAAAAUAGAUUCAUUCAACGAGCACCAGAGCAAUAUACAAAUCUGACAAAGUGACAUAUUGACAUAGUCACGUACGUAGAGACGACCAUACGGAAGACAAGACACGCAUACAGGUAGGGGAAGCAGGAAAUCAGUCUAACCUCUCGUCGAACAUGAACGUUUGUAGUCUGCUCAACAGCUAGGUUGGGGGCAGACAGCCGAUAGGUGUGCCAGGGACAACAGGUAGGGGUGGAUCACAGUCGUGGACGCUGUAGGAUCAAUAGUGAUCGUCGGAUCGGCUGCGGGCUAUGAGAUUGCCAGUUGCCGCCUGAUAGAGAAACGGUCUCGACCCAAGCGGAGAAUAAAAGGUAUGAUGUUGUGUCGCAUGUGCGCGCUGCGCCGGCUUCUGAAGCGUCGUCCUAGUUGAUAGGUCAUUUUAAAAACAUGCUAACUUGUGAGUGGAGACGGAGGAGGUAGAGCUAAGCCUUGGCUAUCUCACUUGGUGGCCUGUUCGAGCUAGAUAGGAAGGAGGACAAGCUGUCCCAUUCAUCAUCUAUGGCGGCCAUGCUGACAACACCGGUGGAGGUACCAGUGUUGCACGACCUUGAGUGGACAAGCUCGCUACCCGUCCAAGCGGAGGCGUCGGAAGUUGGGAGGAAGUAGAAGUUACUGAGUCCUCCUAACUUCCGGCACCUCCACCGACAUUGUCCGCAUGGUCUGCAUAGACGACGAUUGGAGGAGCUUUUGUCCCCGUAACAAGCCUGACCCGGCCGCCAAGCAACAGCCUGAGGCUAAGCUCCACCUCCUCUAUCUCCACCACAACUGUGCCCCUGCCCGGCCUGUGGCGGGGCAUGUCCCUUGCCAAUCAGGCACAACAAGCUUACACAGAAAGGAGUUCAAGGAAGGAGUGAGACGGGCGGGUAUGGGUCAUGGAUACGCGCGACUACACAUAUUUAUCCCCGUGUGGGGUGAUUUUUUUCUUACUUUCUGCAAACAUAAACAUGCGUUGAGAGAGCAGGCCAUGCGUCAACAGCUUUCGUGAAAAAUCGCCUCAAAACUCAAAGUGACUCUCUCUCUCUCUCUCUCUCUUGCAACUGACCACCAUUAGGUGUACCCGUAUUUGGUGUAUCAUACACAGAAGUGGUAGUCUACUGUUACAAGUGCAGACAAAUCAUGAACAACAUUUUUUAGCACUACUAGUGUGUGUAACCUUUACAAGUAAUAUACAGUUGAACAAUGGUUUUAUGGUGGAUAUAUACACUAUAUAAAUCUACAUAGUUUUCUUAUAAAAGGGGUGCUAUAGCUUCAGCAGUUAGUACCACUUGCAGAAAAGGUAGAGCCAAAACAAGAAACUGAAAACAGAUUGCCUGCGCUGGUCUUCCAAACCACUUUUCGUUCUCCACGUCAAACAGCGCUAUGUACGUGGUUUUUCUUUGUUUGGUUUUUCUAUGUUUGAUUUUAACAAGAACAACAAAAAUUACUAACUGCUUCUUUUUGUUUUUGAUUUUCUGAUGAGUCAGGUGUGAAUCAUACCACAAGAAGGACAAAAAUUACUAACUGCUUAGGAAGCGUACCUCUCUUUGUUGGCGCGAGCACACGUCACCAGUUCCAGACUCCACACAGAUCGCAUCAUCAUUGCCUUACCCUUUACGAACACACAUGACACAACGCAUCAUCACACAUGACACACACACACCUCUAAUGUUUUUCCCCUCUGGUUAUUUAAUAUAGCAUUUCUCAAACAAAGAUGAUGAGAAAUAAGAAGCAAACAAACGGACAAGUGAAAGAACCCGACCGAGCAAAUUGAGGAGAGAACACACGCGCACCACGUACUCUCUCUCGGCCCAUCACUUUUUUGGCCGUACGUCCGAUGACCGGAGAACCGAUGGUCACAACUUACAACACAAACCAUCAUGGAAGAAAUAAUGAAAACACGGCGAACAAACACACGCCCACCACAAAUGAAUAUAUAAAAUUUCGUCUCAUCAGUCGGCUGCUAUAUCAUCUCAUGGCUCUAAUUUAAGGUAGCUAGCUGAUCGAUCGCGGCGGCACAUGGCGGCCGGAGAGACCAUCGGCACACAGGGGGAGCUGCUGGUGCGGCAGCAGCACUCUAGUAGUUUAACGUUAUCGUCCCCGGCGAAACCGAGCGCGCCAUCACGUCAUGUUUCCACGCCAGCGCCCGCGCGACGCACAUGGCGACGAACGGACAGCCUGGCGCGCGCGCGGCUGCUGGCUGCUGUCCCCCGGUAUGGUAUGGUACGGCCGUCGGGCCCGAUCGUCGCAGCGGCGUCGUCGCGAAAGCGUGCGCGCGGGCGAACAAAGUCUCGGCCAUGCCCCCGUCGUGGCGUCGUCGCUGUCCUGUCCAGAUGAGGAAUCUAGGGGCCGGUGCACCAGGAAUCAACCAGCAGGUUAGGUGUUGUGUGCGUGAUGCAGAUGCAGCAUGUGUGGUGUGGCCUUCCUUUUAUGUUUAAAUAAAAUAAUAAAAAAAAGUCUGAAAAGAAGAACCACCAUAACAAUAUAUACAUUUUUUUAGCAGAACAAUAUAUACGGAUAUCACUACCGGAUGCAACCCAUCGGCAAAAAGAACUUAGCCAUCGAAAAAAAGGUUGCCGAUGUCAAAGUGACGUGGCCAUCGGCAACCUCCCAUCGGUAAAAUUCUCAUCGGAAAACACAUGUUUGCCGAUGGCUAAAGCAGAAGUCAUCGGCAAAAGGAUUGCCGAUGGCCGCUACCCCCAUCAGCAAACCCUCCACGUCAUCCGGCCCGCCGUCAGGCUGACGGCGGGUUUGCCGAUGGCUGACUCCACGUGGCCAUCGACAAAUAGUCCUGUUUUCCGAUGGCCAAGGCCGUUGGCAUUUUUUGUAUUUUGUUUUUUAAAAAUCAUUUCACGAAUUUUUUUACCGUUGGCCACGGCCAUCGGCAUACCUAGGCCGCGCUGGGCCAAUUUCCACAGGAACCUGGGGAAAUUUUUUUUCCUUUUUUUCCCUGUUUUCUUCCAUUUCCAGCACAUUUAAACACAAGCAUGAUAUCAGAAGCAAUAUAUACAACAUUCAUCACAUAUAUUCGCAAUAAUACGCCAUUUCAAACAUAAUAUAGCAUCAAAUCCAUAUCCAUGCAUAAAAGUCCAUAUCAGAAGUGCAUCCAUACAAGUCCAACAUGUCCAAAUGCACCCAUACAAGUUCAACGUCGGCCAAACAUGUCCGACGUGGCACAACAAGGUCCAAAAUAAGGAGUAGAAGCUACCUAGCUCGUGGCGCCGUCCCCUUGGGUCCCCGAGCCCCCAGAAGCAUCCUCCCACUGAGGCCAACCCCCGUGCGGCUGCGGAUUCUGCAUCUGCUGCUGCUGCCACGAGUACUGUCAGUGGCCGAGCUGCUGAGGUAACUGCGACGGCCCGGGCUGCGGCUGCGGCGGCCACGAGUACCCCGGCUGCGUGGGGAACUGAGACGGCCCGGGCUGCCCCUGCGGCGGCCACGAGUACCCCUGCGUCGGUGGAGGUGUCGGGCCGAACGGCUGCCCGCUCUGGAGGAGGCUCUGGUAAGGACCCAAACCGGGAUGUGGAGGAGGAACCUGUGGAGAAGCACUCGCCGGAGGGCUAGCACCUGGAGUUGGGUUCAAACCCGCCGAGUGUGUCUGCACAAAGACCAAGUGAUGGAAUUAGUACCUGCGGACUGGCAUCACAAGCUAAAGCAGUAGGCAAUGUAGGGACUCACCGGACGAGGUGCAAGAAAAGGUGGCAGUGGAGGUACUGGAGGUGGAGCGAAGAAAGCGGCUGGAGGCUCACUCAUUCCCAUGGCACGCAUGUGCUGGGACAUCUGCGACCACGCCUUCUCGUAGUGCUGCGCAACUGAGGUCGCGUGCUGCUGAUAGGCAAGCGCCAUCAUCUUCUGGUUGGCUACCACCUCCUCGACCUAGGCCUGCAAUAUUACACGAGCAUGGUGGAUUGUAUUUGAAGGCAAGGUACAUUAUUUGUGAAACGGUCGAACGACGAAUGAAACUCCACUUACCUGAAGACCCGCGAUCUGUUGCGCACUGCUCUGCUCCCGAGGCGCUAUGGGGACCCGCGGUGCGCCGCCCCUACGCUGGUCUUCCUUGCGGAUCUGGGUCAGCGUCGGGACAGAGGACGGGUCAAUGGCGCUGUGGGCCAUAUAGAACCGCCCGUGCUGCUUCCCUCCUCCCAAUCUCAUCACGAGCUUAGGGUCUAUGGGCUCUGUGGUGACGUCGUAGUCGUCGCCAUGGGCCGCUCGAGCUGCGUCGGCGUACUUGGUGAGCUUCUCGUGCACUCUCGGGCUAGUGUACUUCUUGGGCCCGUCCGAAGAGUUGUACGUGGUGGAGGGCGCUUUCGCUGGGCUCUUGUGAGCAAGAGCCCACCCCGUGUACUCGUUGAUGGGCUGCCCGUCGUGGUGCUCCCUCUGCGAGGAAAACAGAAAACAUGGUUACAAGCAGAGAUAUAAGAAAUCCGACGCUAUAAGAAAUGGUUGAACACAAGCAUACCCAUGUUUCCAUGAACUCGCCGAGGUUCACGCUCCCCUGGUGGUGUGAGACCCCGGACUUCGCCAUCUCUCCCAAGCGCUUCGCCCGACGUUCUCGGUGCUCCACGUACGCCGCCGGCGUUUGCCACCCUUGGACAAUCGUACGCCAGCAGUCCUCGUACUUGCUGCACCAGCCCGGAGGUGACUGCAUGACAUUCAAGUGUUAGAUCUUCCAGAUAAUGAGUUGAAUGUGUCACAUAAGGAAUCACAGCGGAUGGUUUCCUACUUAUUUACCUGCAUGUACUGCUCCUCGGUGAGGUCGGUCUCCGGCUCACAAAUCAGCUCCCUGGACGUGGUCUUAUCCACCUUCAUCCCCUUGUAGUUGGCGUAGUAGGAGAUGACGGCCUGGGUGCGCGCCUCGUAGAACAUGUCCUCGAUCCGCGACUCGCACACCUUCUCCUGAUGCUUGUCCGCCACCUCGGGGUCCUACCCCUCCGCCAACCUAUAGUACAACUGCACACAGGCAUCAAACAUCAUUCCAUUGUUUGAGAAAAGUCCAACAAAUGCGUAGUAUUGAGAUAUGCGUUGCGAUUGAAAGACUCACCCAGAACUCCCUCUUGAUCUUCUCAGCGAGGACUUCCCCACGCGCGUCCCUGAUUAGCCAGUAGUAUGGCCAUUUGUCGGGCACGAUCGUCCUCCCCUCGAUGGUGACCAAGCCAGGGAAGUUUGCCUUAAUAAUUCGCCCCUGGAUGCUCGUGACAUGGGGCGAAGCCGUCCUGGCCGACACCUUUCUCCAGCCACUACACAAGCACAACAAUUGUUAGUAUGCAGUUUUAAUUCGAAAAUGAAAUAAGAACAAGUACAGAAAUCAACAAUGGAUACUUACGACGGCCCAGAGAUCACGAUCUGCGUGCGGUCCUCAGGGCGCGGCAAGUGCUCAGGGAGCUUAGUGGGCCCGCGCUGGAAGGGCUUCUUCUCGGUCCUCGUGGAAGCCGAGGUGCCUGUGGUCUCCUCCUCCUCGUCGUCGCCACAGCCACCGCCGCCGCCGUCCUCCUCCUCGUCGUCGCCACAGCCACCGCCGCCGCCGUCCUCCUCGUCGUCGUCCUCGUCGCCACCGCGGUUGACACAAAUUGCCUCAUCGUCCAACAGCCUCAACCUGGCACUCCUGCGCCUACCAGCACCCCUGCUGGUCGACGGCUCGACCUCAAGCUCCUCGUCGUCCUCCUCGUGGUUGCCGGCCUCCACGCGCUCCUCGUGGUGGCCGGCCUCCACGUCGUCCUGCUGGGGCGCGAGAAAGUUGUACCUCGACCUGACGUUCUUGCGGCGCGACCGUCCUCCGCCUGGCAUUUUGUCUAGUGCCUGCAAUGACAAAGAAUGAAACAGUCUAGUGCCAAGUCAUUUGUUUCGCGGACUCCUCCGUCAUGUACAGCCGUUGCAGCCUCGGUAGUACUGGAAGGUGUCGUAUGACCAUCUGGGGGAUCUUAGACUGUUUCUUAGUGCCAUCACUGCCUUCUACAUCCACGUACCUAGAGGCUUUGCACUCCGGACAGUGUGUUGCUGCCUCGUGGUCUCCCCGGAACAGGACACACCCGUUCUUACAAGCUUGGAUCGGGUUAUAAGGCAUCUUGAGUGCACGAAGGAGCUUCUGUGACUCGGUCGUGUUUUUCGGUAGGCAGUGCUCCUCCGGAAGCAGCCCGCCAACGGUUGCCAAUACGAGAUCAAAACCUUCCCGACUGAUGCCCAGUGACGACUUCAGCCCUAUUAGGCGUGAAAUGGCAUCCAGUUUAGAAAUGCGGGUCUUCUCGUGAAGGUGCUCCUUUGUCGCCUCCAUCAUGUCGUAGUACGCCUUUGCGGUCGACUCUGGAUCUUCUUCCACCACCCCCAAUCCUUCAACGGCUCCAACGUCCUCAAGCAAGUCUGUCAUUCCGGCAUCUUGAUCAAACCCCUCGAGGUCCGGUCUCACCACCGCCUCCGUAACCCGUUGGGGUUCCCCAUGGAGGAUCCAGCGGGUAUAGUUUGGAACAUACCCUUUUGCCCAAAUAUGAUUCCUCAUCUGUCGUUGCUCUUUCCUUGUCUGGUUCUUACACUUGCUACAGGGACAAAACACCUGAAUCGCCCCUUUAGAAGCUGGGCCAAAUGCCUUCUCCAGGAACUCCCCGGUCCCAUUAACCCAUUCAUUGGUCUUGUCUUUGAAUCCCGUGUACAUCCACUCACGGUCAGCCAUCGUCUGUCAUGCGCCAAAGUAAGCAAGUAAUAAGACCAAAUCUGCAUCUACAAGGCGUUCCUACCAUCUACUAGGUGAAGGAUAGGUCCUAAUCCCACCCGAGGAUGCGUAGAUGAGGUUAGCUUCCAUGCUCCGCUCCCGUCCGAGACGGAAUUUCGGCAGCACCUCCCCGCUGUUCUCCCGAUACACGUCCCGACAGGGAGAGUGUGUAUCCGGAGAACAACGGGGAGGGGCUGACGAAACUCCGACUCGGACGGGGGCGGAACAUGGAAGCUAACCCAUCUACGCAUCCUCGGGCUGUCCAAAAAACGUGGACAAUCCGAAAGAGAAACAGUCGCAGAUAUGCACUGAUCCGCAUACCAACGACCGCGAAUCUGUUUCGGACGGGAGACGCCUAACUCGGUUACGCAAUGUACUUACAACAACUAUAAGACACAGAGGUGGUUUAUACCUAGGGUGGCGGCGCAGAGGCGGGUAGGUGCACGAACACGGUCAAGGUCCCCUCCGACAAGUCCUGCUCUGCAAAGCAAUAAAGAUAUCAAUAUUUGUGGAAAAUUUCGACAGAACCUCCCCUGUAUGGGGAGGUUCCAAGACCUGCAAGAAAAACUGCCGGCUCGAAGGCCGGUGUCCACAUUUGCGGCACGAUGGCCCACACAACCACAAACCCGGCACGAAGGCCGUCAACACAGAAAACGGCGCGAUGGCCGACAACCCUAGAGCUUUACCUUCUCCUACGGCGACGCGCGGCGUCGGACGACGUGGGCGAACGGCGUCGGACGACGUGGACGGACGGUGCACGAAUGAAGCGGACCUUCUCUGCCUCCUCCUCCUCUCUUCCUCCUCCCCUUCUCCUUCCUCUCCUCCCCUUCUCCUUUGUCCUCCCUUCUCCUUCCUCCCCUCCUCCUCCCCUCCUCUUCUCCUCCUUCUCCUCCUUCUUUUCUUCCUCCUCCCCUUCUCUUCUCCUCCCCUUCCCUUCCCUUCUUGCAGGACCCGGCGGCCGCGGCGGUGAGGCGCGGUCCCGCGCCGGCGAGGAGCAGGGCGGCGGCGGCGCUGGAGGGCGCGGGACGGGGCGGGGGUGGGGGCGUAGGACGGGGUGGGGGGGAGGCGCAGGGCGCGGCGGCCGCGGCGGUGAGGCGCGGGCGGCGACCGCGCCGGCGAGGAGCAGGGCGGCGGCGGCGCUGGAGGGCGCGGGACGGGGCGGGGGUGGGGGCGCAGGACGGGGUGGGGGGGAGGCGCAGGGCGCGGCGGCCGCGGCGGUGAGGCGCGGGCGGCGACCGCGCCGGCGAGGAGCAGGGCGGCGGCGGCGCUGGAGGGCGCGGGACGGGGCGGGGGGGGGCGCAGGACGAGGUGGGGGUGCGGCGCGAGAGGGCUCGCUGGAGGGCGAGUCGGGCGGCGCGAGUCCGGCGGCGGCGGCGGUUCGGGGGCGGCGGCGGUGUGGGAGAGAGGAGGGUGAGAGAGAGAGGAGUGGAGAGUGGUGAGAGAGAGGAGAUGGGCCGGCCCGUUAGCUAGGGUUGCAAGCUUUGCCGAUGGCCGUGGCAAAGCCGUUCGCCGUUGACCGGCCAUCGGCAAAAAAAAAAUUUUGUUUUUUUCUUUCCAAUUUUUUUUCUGGUGUCUUCCUACCCCAAAUACAAGCCACCUCCAAAGUUUGGGACAAUUUUGAACUUUUUAGCUAUAUUUCGUUGAUUAUUUCUGUUUCUUUUAAUUUUUCCCGCACCUCAAGAUUUGAACUGCAGAUACCUAAAAUAAUGAAGACUUUUGAUUCAAAAAAUGAUAUUCAUGAUUCUCGGAGUAUGUUGAGGCCAUAUCCAGGAUCUCGCAUGAAAUUACGACCGUGUUGGCCUCGUAACAUGGGUAGUGACGUGCCAGGAAAGUGUUUUAAAAUUCUAUAAAAUGCAAACGAAGUCCAAAAUUGACGAGUUGUCUUGCCAUGGCAUGUGUAGUGUGUGGUAAAAAUUUCAAAAAGUUUCAAGCUGACGUCGGAUGGUCAAAACCCACAUGUGGAGAUGUUUGGGUCGUUGAUUAUAUAGAAUUUUAAAACACUUUCUCGGCACGUCACUACCCAUGUUACGAGGCCAACAGGGUCGUAAUUUCAUGCGAGAUCCUGGAUAUGGUCUCAACAUACUCCGAGAAUCAUGAAUAUCAUUUUUCGAAUCAAAAGUCUGCAUUAUUUCACGUACCUGCAGUUCAAAUCUUGAGGUGCGGGAAAAAUUAAAAGAAACAGAAAUAAUCAACGAAAUAUAGCUAAAAAGUUUAAAAUUGUCCCAAACUUUGGAGGUGGCUUGUAUUUGGGGCAGGAAGACACCAGAAAAAAUUGGAAAGGAAAAAACAAAAAAAAAUUUGCCGAUGGCCAUGGAAAGCCAUCGGCAAACAAGAUAUGCCGACGGCCGGCCAUCGGCAAACAAGGUGGGCCUGGGCGCUCCCCAGGCUGCCACGUGGCCAUGGUCUGCCGUUAGCCGCGGCCAUCGGCAAACGUGACGGCGUCUGCGGCCGUCCGCUCCUGGCAAGUUUUGCCGAUGGGGGAGGUCUGCCGAUGGCUUGGCCAUCGGCAAAAAAUUUCUUGGCCGAUGGCUUUUAGUCGCCGAUGGCCGGGCCACCGGCAAACUGGACGGUUGCCGAUGGGCUUUUUUCGCCGAUGGCCCGGCCAUCGGCAACAAUAGUUUUUCCGAUGGCUCCACUUUGCCAUCGGCAAACCUUGUUUUUUGCCGAUGGCAAAUUCCUCGACCAUCGGCAACCUUGAGCGCCAUCGGAAAAAACUCCGUCUCCGGUAGUGUAUGCAACAUGGUUGUCGUUUGUGUUAAUUUAUCUCCCCUUGUAUCAUACAAGUGUAUUUCGAUUUAGCACCUGCUAAUAGCCAGCACACCCCUUUAUUUGACGCGCGUGCGUCAGUUCAGGUAACAGUGCUCGUCUUCUAUGGGUCAUUGUCUUCCUCACUCUUCUUCAUCGUUAAUCUUCUCCUACUAUCUCUUUCCUCGGCGCCACCCUCCUCCAUCUCCUACUAGGCCGCAAGCCAGAACACCGACAACCUCACUGCCUUCCCCGCCUCAACCCCAUCAUUCACUAAUAUUGUAUGCGAUCGCCCCCAUUACCUACCUAGUCCAUUGUUUGUCUUCCAUCGCCUGAUUGGCGGCAUUGUUGCUGCCGUGCCUCACCACCCUUAAACGCCCCCCACCGUCGCGCCGACCACCGCCCCAACCAUCCCUCUAGGUCCGAAGGACGUUGGAGAUUACUGCCUAGAGAUUAAACCAAAGCUCAAAACCUAACCCUCAGGGGAGAAUCCAGGAUAUUAUGUCAUUGGGGUCAAGGAGUAAACAACGAGGUUAAAUACAUGUUAAUUCUCUAUUUGAAAGAAUAAUUUGCAGAUCAAUUAAAGAGCUUUAAGUGAAUUUCUGUCAAGUUAUUGGGGUCAGCUGACCCCAAUGGAUACACAUAGAUUCGCCCCUGCUAACCCUAGGCUCGUCUACCCUGCAGAUUACCCCAAAGCUUAAUUAAAACCUAACCCUUGGUCCGUUACCCCACCGCCAUGCAACCGCCACCCAUGGAGCCCAACCCCUACCCGCCCCACAUGCUCGGCACCCUCCCUAACCAUAGGCCAUAGUCUAGACUCUAGAGAUUACCCCAAAGCUUAGAACCAAAACCUAGGUCUGUGUACUCAUCAACUGCCAACUGUCGCCCACUCCGAAGAUUUAUCAAAAGCUCAAAACCUAACACUAGACCCACAUACCGUACCGCCAACUGUCAUUCGUAACCCUAGAUCCAUCUACCCUACCACCAACUGUCAUUCGUAACGCCCGCCUCCCACCCGCCCCACGCGCUCGACGCCCUCCGUAAACAAACGGCUUCGAAACCUAGGCCUGUCUACUCAUCAACUGCCAACUGUCGCCCACUCCGAAAAUUUAUCAAAAGCUCAAAACCUAACACUAGACUCAUCUACCGUACCGCCAACUGUCAUUCAUAACCCUAGAUUCAUCUACCCUACCGCCAACUGUCAUUCGUAACGCCCGCCUCCCACCCGCCCCACGCGCUCGACGCCCUCCGUAAACAAGCGGCUUCGACGUCACACCUACCGCCAACUGUCAUUCGUAACGCCCGCCUCCCACCCGCCCCACGCGCUCGACGCCCUCCGUAAACAAGCGGCUUCGACGUCACACGGUGGUACCGUUAAGGCACACACGUGUCAAAUCAGAAUUUUGCAACAACCAUGCUUGCUUUGUUAAAAAUAACAAAUUUAGAAAAGCCAUGCAUGCUUGCAAACGCAAUAUCAUCAUGCAUGCAUCCAGGUAAUUACCACACCAGCAUAUAUACAAAUUAAAGGAGGAUUAAGGCAUGCAGGUUCUAGCUUUUGCUGCUGUCUUGUUAUCCGAAUGGCACGACGACGACACCAAUGACCGAGAUCACACGUGUAAAUAAGAAUUUUGCAACAACCACAUGCUUGAUGAUAUAUAUGCAUGCUUGAAUAUCAUCAUGCAUGCAUCCAGGUAAUUAUACCACACCAGCACAUAUACAAAUUAAUUAAAGGAGGAUUAAGGCACGCAGGUUCUAGCUUUUGCUGCUGUGUCUUGUUAACCGAAUGGCACACGACGACGACACCAAUGACAGAGAUCAGGUAUGUCCAUGCAUGUACAUGACUAGCUAAUUAACGACACCACGACACAGGUCCAACAAACCAAACCAUGCACACAAUUCAGCGUCACACAGCAGGUGGGGGUCUACUACUCGAUUUAAUAAUAUCAUCACCUAGCACACUACAUGCUUAACACACGACGGGGGUGACCACCAUCAUCAGGUCAGCUGUUUCGAGCUAGCUAGCUAAUAACUUGAGAUGGAUCAAUGGCGGAGUGAGCGAGAGAAGACUGUUGUUCUUUCAUCAGAUGCUCACGGCCAUCUGGUUCAUGGCGGCGGCUCCCUGCUGCCGAUCCCGUCGAACGCCUUGCGGAGACCUCCCUUUGCAUGCACCACUGACCCCAUCGACGUCGGCAUCUCCAGGAACGCUGGCUUUCUCUGGACCUGCUGGAGACAUCAGCUUGUGCUUGCCUGCGGCACUGGAACCGUUGCCUUGCUCUUGCGCCGGCGGCCUUACCUUCACGCCCCGUAUCAGCUGUGGAUACAACAGAAUGGUAUCAGGGGUUAUGAGUUGCUGCUGCUGAAACCCAAGUGCACAACAAGAUCAAAGAUGCCACUGUACUUGAGAUUGACAUCCACACACAAACAGUGGCAUCCAAAACAGUUGUGUUGGACAUCGACCAAGACACUUGACCAAUGCAUAAUUCACAGGCAUAUGUAUAUGGAUCUAAAACGAACAUAUAUAGCAAGGAAAUAGACAAGAGGAGGACAUUACAAAUUUGCCCGACUUGACAUCGGAGUAUAUCACUAUGAAAUCCCCCUCCUGAAGCUCAUUGGAACGAACAAAUUCUCCUGCAAGUUGAGAAAAAACAGAAUCAAACAAUGACAAAGAAGAUGUCAAGAUCGGAUGGAUGGAAAUCGUAACGUUUUAGGAUCCUCUCACCUGUGUUCUCCAGCAGAUACAUUCUACUCUUGUUGUUGGGCCAAAACCUGCGUGCAUGCAAUAAGGAGCUGAUGAGGCACUUAAUUUGCAGCAAGGCAAUCCACUUUCAGAACAAAAUAUCACCAGAUCAUAUACAAAUGCAAAAAAUGAAAGCUACCUAUUUUGCAUAUAACUUCCAGUAUUGGAACAGGUUAUUAUUUUGCAUAGAACUUCCAGAAUUGACGAAGAACUUUGAUGGCAUUUGGUUCGAUGAAAUGUAACGCAAUCUGUUUAUUUGGAGGACUGGAUAGCGAUGCAGACACGUUUGGUUCAAUUUUGUCCGUUAUGCAUUACCACGUAAUCACAUAUCGUCCUAUUCAUAGGUGAUACCGCUCAUAUCCAUCCCUUAUUUUAUUGCCGCCGUCUCUCCAAAUUACCGUUACGACGCCGAACCAAUCAAAGUCAGCAAUCAACGAUCCCACCGACUAAACCCACGUGAUCUGAUUUCAUUUGCGGUUAGGUUACCCAAGGAUGAAACAAACACCACCUUUAUUUGUAGGGGAAAAUCAAACCAGAAAAACGAGCCACACAAAGACAAGGAAAUAAAGCAUAUGAAACCAGAAAGAAGAAAAACCGGAGGAAGGAGGGUAAGAGAACACUACGGAUGCUGUUAAAUUAAAGAUUUGCAACUGGCUGCCAAGCACACAGCUUAAUUAAGGAACGUAUCACCAACCGAAAGGAAGUAACAACUGCCUUGUGAAAUAACUCGAGCUAUACCACAAGUAGUUAUUUGCAAGCUGGAGGAACAGGCCAUUUUAAGAACAAAUAUCACCUGAUGGUGUACAUAAGCUAGCUACUGAGCAUAUGCAGAAUAUUUUAGUACUGAAACAACAGAGAUCGAUUAGCAAGUUGGAGAAGAGACAUGUUUAUUGCGUGCAGAAUUACGUGUAGACGGGUGCAUGCCACUAUUUGCUCCUGGGAUUCUCAUCGUACAGUAUAUUCAUAUGACCCACUUGCCCAAUUGGGAAAGAAAGGGACCAUGCCACAGUGAUGCCGUACUCAUGCCAUUUACUAUUUUCUGGCCCAGUAGUACGUGGUACUACCUUUAUAUCUCCCUACACGGCUACACCCAGUAAACCAAGAACAUGCAGUUUUGGGCCUUGUUUAGGACUUGUUUAUAGAUGCGAAUUUUUUUAGAUUUCGCUACUUUAGCACUUUCGUUUAUUUAUGACAAAUAUUGUCCAAUUACAAACUAAUUAGAAUCAAAAGAUUCAUCUCGUGAUUUACAGACACACUGUGUAAUUAGUUUUUAUUUUCGUCUAUAUUUAAUGCUUCAUUCAUGUGCCGCAAGAUCUGAUGUGACGGGGAAUCCAGGGCGAACUAAACAAGGCCUUACUUCCACCCAAAAACUCAAAAAAUUUUAAGAUUCACCGUCACAUCGAAUCUUUAGACGCAUGCAUGGAAUAUUAAAUAUAGACGAAAAUAAAAAUUAAUUGUACAGUUUGGUCGAAAUUUACGAGACGAAUCUUUUGAGCCUAGUUAAUCCAAAGUUGGACAAUAAUUACCACGAACAAACGAAAAGUGCUACAGUGUCGCAAAAUUUUUCCCACGAGGAAAAAACUCGGCCCAAAUAAAAGAAAGGGAGACCAAACAGAGAUUCGAGGGAAACACCCAACAAAUGGAUUUAUCAAUGCUCGGCUAUAUCCCAAAAAAUCCCUAGACUAAUGACACUCACCUGUACCGCAUGUUCCAUACGCGCGAUGUCCCAAUGUCCUCCAUGGGGAUGGAGAUGCCAUCCCUCGUCUUGAGCUCUGGCAGGUGAACCUCCGCUUCCUUCUGAAUCGUCCAAAGAAGACAAGACGAUUUUAGGAGAGAGAUACCAAACCAGCAUGGCCAAUUUAUUUUGAGAAGGCAAGACCAUUUGAAGAACAGAUUCAAUGCAAAAGCAGUUUGCAAGCUUUGAUGCAUAGAUCAUCUGUGAUCUAUCCAUGGCUGAUUUUAAUUAGUUCAAGAACAGGAGUGGCUCAAGUGGAUGCAGCAGGCAUGCAUGCAAUGCAUCUAGCUAGAUUUAUAUGUGCAAGUGGGGGGCUAGCUAGAUAUGAUGCAGAUCAUGAAGGGCGUCGUCUGUCUCACUUUGGGGAGCACGAUGCGCCCGAGGCUCCCGACGUCGCUCUGCUUCAGCACCUUCUGCAGCAGGAACCGCAGGUUCUUGUCCGCCUUGGCACCCUGCAAUAUCCCACACACAUCUUCAUCAGAUCCAUGCACGAACACCACAGGAACACGCAUCGAAUCCGUACGCGAGAGCAUACGGCGCACGCACGUUUCAUGCGUGCUCGUUUGCUCUCGACGACAGCGAUGUGCGUCUGUCUAUUACUACGAGCAAACACAAGACAAGUUUGGUAUAGUAUAGAUCUCGUGCUAGCUAGCGAUGCCAUGCACCUGCCGCUUAUCUGAAGCCGCCGCAAGGCGCUGGGGACUGUCGUCCAGCCGAGCACCAGGCGCCGGCUUCGCCGGUGGCGCGGUCACCGCUUCCAGGGAGAGAGGCACCGGUUCCCCUGAGGAAUUGGACUUGAUGGAGAGCGGGUUCUGGACCUGCUGCUGGCUGCUCGGCGACCAGAAUCCCCAGCCACCGGCUGAGGGCGUGACCGGCGUGGAGUGGGCCGACCGAGGGGACGGCUCCUGCGGGUGGACGGAGCCCUGGAUCUGGCCCAGGUUUAGCUGCUGGUUGCGCUGCUGCUGCAGGCAGGACAGGCGCCGCUGUCUCGCCAUGCGCUUCUUGCGGGCCUCCUUGGUCGCCGAGGCCUCCACGCCUGCCAUGCGCUGGGGGGCCAUGGUGGGGUGGCCGCCGGCAGCGCCGGCGGCGGCGUACUGCCCGCCGAAUCCGGCGGAGAACGGCUGCGGCAUAGGGUAAGAGCCCGUGGACGCCCCAGGUGUUGGGAACGGCACGUACUGCUGUGGCCAGGCCAUGUUUGCGCCGCCGGCGCCGUGCAUGUCGCCCACCGUCGGCGGGGAGAACGGCUGGCUGUUCACGACCACGCUGCUCGUGCUGGAGCUCUGGUGGAAAGGGUAUUGUUGGCCUGCCGCGUUUGGGUACACCGCGUCGCCGCCGUACGCAGGUGGCGUGAACGGCUGCUGCUGGUAGGGCAUCCAGGAUGUGCCGCCGCCUGCGGCCAUAUCCUGUCCGCCGGCGGGGAACUCGUAUCCUUGGUUGGCGCCCGGGCUGGGGAGCUGGCCGUGCAGGCCCGCCGCCUCCUCCAUCACGUCGCGCGGGCGCUUCUUCUGGAGGUGAUGGUUCUGCACCCAGGUGAGGAUGAGCUUGAGCAGCUGCAUGUUGCCUUGGCGCCCGCCGCCGAGCCGAGCGGCGGCGGCCUCGAUGGUGGAGCGGCGGAGGCGGAUCCCGCGGAGAUCCUCCGCCGAGAUGUUUUCACGGUUGCUCGUGAGCCACUCCAUGAAGAACCGCGGCAGCUCCUCCCCCGCCGCCACCGAUGACGCAUCCAUGCAGGCUUCCUCUCUGCCCGUCCCUUCCAGAACGGGUUUCUCUUCACGUCUGACGUCGCACACCGGAUUCGGCGGCGCGGACAUGGCGUCCUCUAGCAUCAAGCUAACCUCCGGGAACGGCUCGGAGUCCCACGGCAUGGAGAGCGACGCGAAGUCGAGGAUCUGGUCGAUGUCAUCAAGCGCAUCAAACCCUUCCCCGGCCGAUGCAGGCUCGGAGGGCUCGCCGGCGGCGGCGGCGCCGCCGCCGCCAGCUCCUCCUGCCGUCGUGUUGGUGUAGGCGCUGGAGGAGUUGGACGAGGAGGACGACGAGAAGGUGGAGCUGGACGGCGACGAGAGGCAAGGGAAGUCCGGGAGGGAGGGGAACGUGUCUUCGGCGAACAUGAAGUCAUCCGCCGCCUCCCCUCCGAUCUCCUCCGCCGGGGCCUCCCCCAUGUCGCCACCGUGCUCCGGCGGGUUCUCUUGGGAGUGCGGUGGCGACGAACCGCCGGAGGCGUCCAUGC